UGGGGUUUCAGCGAUACAUAGAUAACGAUGCUUCUUAGAGCUUUAUUAUAGCGAGUGAGGAUGGCGCUAACUUUGUUUGAUGUUUUACAAACUGACUGAUAGUCGCAGUUUUAUUUUGCGUGCAUUAGGAGUUGUGAUGUUUGAUGCGCUUGGCAUGUAGUAGAAGAGCUGAUUAAACUUGUCCUUGAUGUGUACAACCUUGUGAUUUGCCGCUGACUUUGUUCACAUUACGGACUUCGGAGUGUUCAUUGCAAGUCUCUGUUCUGUUACUGCUGUAAUAGUAGCCCACCUGUGAAGGCAUUGUCUCCAACUGUCUUAGCGUUCGACUGCUUUAUUUUCAUGUUGAGAGAAUGGAGUUUAACUCGGAUGAUACUGCUUGCUGCAUAAUUGAUGUUCAUUUUCCAAACUGAAUUAGUGAGAUGGGUAUGAUUGCAAUUGAAUAAUUCUUGUUCUGUAUCAUGAGUUCAUAUCUAAAUAAACUGCGGCUUAUUAGUGCCACCGCAUUGCUGUCAACGUGCCAAGGAUGUUGCAAAAUUCCCCGCAUUUUUGUAAACUACUCCCUCUGUCCAAUAAUAUUAUCAGACGGAGGGAGUACCUAUUUGAACAUGGCAAGAAUAAUGAUAGUAUCGGAAGUUAAACUUAGUUUCAUUGCAUCCAUAGGCUGUGGAUGCUCUAAGGAGGCAUCAUCUUCUGUGCCAUCAGGCUGGUUGCAACCGCCUUUAACCAGGAAGCCUGUGUUUAAUUCUCUUUUCUUUACGGGCUGACUUCCUGAUCGAAGCAACAUCUUUCACCUCGCGGGGGAAAAGAUCUUGAAUCCAUAUGCCAUUCAUGGGAGAAGAACAAAGGAGGAUGUAGAUCAUACAGUGGCGGCCAAAGCGUUUCCUUUGGAUGAAGUGGUGUUCUCGGUGUUUGCUGUAUGCAUUGUAACAUAUGAUGUAUCCUGGGGAUAUAUAUAUAUAGAGAGAGAUCUAGAGAUGUAAUGGCCAUGUGUAGACCUAGCUGUAAAUUAUGCAGCCCUUAGGUACAAACCUGAGUGUCCUGGCUUGUUGUGCUCUCAACCACAUGUAGCCAUGAUACAACUGAUUUGUUUACGAGCAUUGGGAUGCCCUCGCAGAAGGAAAAAGUAAAACCCAAGAGUCAAGAAAAAAAGAAAAACUAAUGAUACUUCCUUAGAACCACACGACAAUCGUGGUUAGCCACUUAAACCUGAUAUCAACAAUAGAUGACGGUUCCAUAGAGCAUCUACAUCCCCUGGAGAUAAACCUCUAUAUAUCUCCUGUAGGAAAAUAAUACUAGCUCUACAUCACCCUUUUUAGUCUUCCCGACUCCAUUGAUAUCAUAUGAACCAACCUGUGGUUGGAUUGUUAGGAGAACAAUGGUAUCCACAGUCCACCAGAGUUGUCUUAAAGAAACAAAGUCCAUUGAUAUCAUUAUAAUAGUAAUAACCAAGUAACUAAAUUGAAGUAGUUAAGAAGAAAUUCAUAGAAUUUAUUCUCUUUGAGAGAAAGAAAGCUAGUUUAAGAUGAAAGGAAGCAAGGUAACUUUACGCGCCUUGAUUAGUACUACUAAACAUUGUUCAUGGCACGUUUUCCUGAUCUUGGCAUGCACUGCACAUAGCGUGAUCCUUUCCAUGCACUUGUUGAAACAGAAUUGCUUCUUUAGACAUCUUAUCUUUUACUCUUAUUUUGGGAAACCCUAGCCGCUGUCCCCUCUACCACACCUCCUCCCAUCCUCUCGUCUCGCAGCCGCCGGAGCUCGCUGGCGGGCAAAGCUCAGUCGGUGGCGGCGGGGCAUCCUCUUCUCUUCGUGCGGGGCCGGGCAGCGCGUGACACGUUCUUCGCGCGGGGGCGCGUCGCUACGCGAGGCACGGCGGUGCAGGCGGCUGAGCCUCGGUAUGGAGGGUUGCUUGGCAGUGGUGGUGGCGGCGGCUAGUGCGUGGUGGCGGUGGACCAGGCCAGAUCGGAUCUGGAGGGUUCCUGGCGGUGGGCGGCGCGUGGGUGGGCAGCGACUUAGUAGGGUCUCUUUGGCCAUGGCCACGAUAGCGUGCAGGCCGUUGUUGUAGGGGUUCCAUGGCUGCUGGUCAGAUCCGCCCAGAUCUGACCCUAGGCGCCGACAGGCGGCUCGGGGUGGUGGCCGCGGACUCCUGGUUGGAUGUGGCUGCUUGGAUGUGGGCUGCAACGGCGUGGUGGCAGUCCAUGGCAGUGGGUUGGGUCGUUCCAUGAUGGCGGCUGGACAUCUCCGGCGUCGGUCGUCGGGGAGCGGCUCUUGCGGUGGCGACCUUCUUCCUGCGUCGGCUCGUCCGUAGGCGGCCCGUGGAGGCCUUCGAUCCCUCUCCUUGUCGUCCUGGCGCUACUUUUGUCGAAGGGCUGACCCUCUCCCAGUUGCGAUCCAUCGCCCGUCUCGCGCCCAGUGCUGCAGCACCGAGCUCGUCUUUCGCCUAGCAGCAGGACCAAUCUCGUCUCGCGCCCGGCAGCAGGACUGGCAUCGUCUCGCGCCCGGUGCUGCAGGACGGGUCGAUGGAGGCCAGUUUUGGCCGGCCUAGUGGUCUCAGCGCCGGGGGUCGCACAGGGGUGUGAAAGGCGGAACCUUUUCGCUCGUCUCUUUGGCUGGGUUAGCGGCGGGCCUCAGGUGAGGUGGUGUCAAGGUCUUGGAUGCCAGGGCGGCGGCCCUGGUGGUGGUAGCAUGAUGCUCUUGGGCAGAGCCCGUGGCUUGGUGCUGCCCGGUGGCCAUGGCCGUGAGGGCGGUGUGGUAGCUGGGGUGUGGAGUUCGGUGGCGAUGAGUAUUGGCCGGCGUGAAAACCUGUUCUAUCUUUGGCUGGACCGGCGACGGCGAAGCUCGUUCCCUUCUUGAAGGUGUCGCCGUGGCUCUCAUUGCCCAUCGUGUUGCUCCAGGGGAAACUCUAAUCCUUGGUUAGGACGGUGGCGGCGCUUUGGUAUUGUAACCUUCCUGAAGGCACCGCCUUGGAGCCCACGGUUCGUCAUAUGUGGCUUCAUCUCUUCGCGGUGGUGUGUUCACGGUUGAGGACCCCGGUUGCUCAUGUAGUGCUAGGGGCGGUGUUGCUACGCUCAACGCCUAUAUAUGUAUCCUGCCUUGGGUGUGUGCAUGUGUUGUGGUGGCAUGCGUUUGUACUGGGUUGUUGUUGAUCGUUGCUGUAUAUAUAAAGCGGGGUGAAAGCCUUUUCAGUAAAUGACUAAUAUAACUAAGUAUAAACCCCCCCUAUUUGCAUCCAUAAACACUUACAUUUGAGUAAGGAUAGAGCAAUUAUGAUAUGGUGAGUACAACUUCCAAACUGCUGGUUCAGUUGUCCCACGGUCCAGCCGCACAGAGAAAACAAAGGUACUUUCAGCAAUGGUGGCAAGAACCGCGGGUGCCCGCGGCGGAGUGGCUACAAGCAACAGAGUGGCAGCGACUAGCGGGUUGGUAGUGGUUGACAAUGUGAUGGCUAGCGGAGGUGCAAAUGGAGGAGGUGGGGGCGGGUCCUGGGGCGGAGAUGACCAAUGGAGAUCUAGUACUCAGGGCAUCGUUUGCGGUUGUUCAACGCUGCAUAGACAAGCGAGGGAGUUGUUGGGCUCGCAUGCUACCUUAGUCAAACUCAAGCUAUAACCAAGCCAAGUUCAAGUGCGGACACAUAAGCUUAGACGGGCCUGGUGAAGCAGGUCCACGAGCGGGCUCGGCUUGGAUUCUUUCCAACCCAACCAACAACCUCAAGCGAGACAACCAACAUUUAGCUUUCUAUUUUCACAUGGUGGAUUAGUGACAAUAGCUACAUUUUCCCCUAUGCCUCUCAAUCCGGUUACCAAAUCCGUGCACCUCAGAUGGGUAACAUAUCUUGAAUCCGUAUGCCAUAGGAGAGGAACAAAGUAGGAUGUAGAUCAUACCGGGGUGACAGGGUGCUAAUUGUUGCAUGCAUUGCAAGAAAUGAUGUAUCAUGUGGAUAUAUAGAGAGAUGUAAUGGCCACGUGGGCCGACCUAGAUAGUAUGUAUCAUGAAAGUACAAACUUAAAUGUCCUGACUCAUACAGCUCUCAACCACCUGCAAACAAUGCUAUAAUUGUUCCAUUGACGAGCAUUGAGAUUCCCUCACCCCUCACCCCACCCACAUAGGCACACGGAACGGGACGAGAUGAAACACAUAGUGAGGUUCAUAACCAGGUUUUGCAAUCCAGGAUGACUAUGAGACUUCAACACAGACUAUAAAUUGUUUAACCAGCCAGGUACACAUCCCCCUCAUGCUCAAUUUUGUGCCACACCUCAUCCAGCUCCACAUCCUAAAAUGGCUGAAGUAGGGAUUACAAGGCCACCUGUUCCUACUACACAAAUUACCGACCCAAUGUUUCUAGUCAGCCACACCAUAUGUCUGGGAGAACCAACGAGCUUUUGCUGUCUAAGAUCAAGAGGCUAGUCGGUACUUGUCAGUGGCUCAGUGCCUACGCAAAUAAGAAUAGGACCUGACAUCGAGCCGCUAGCAAGAAAGCUAAUUUUCUUGGCAAAUCUAAGUGGUGAACCAGGCAACCAUGGGAGAAAUCUUGCACUGUGAAAACAAAUUCAUCAGCGAUUCCUUUAGGGCAGCCGUAUGAGAGAUUGACAUACACAUGCCAAUAAAUAUUCUUUGCCGGGCCAAUCCUGAGCACCACUGGCAUAAACGAAGAAAAUAAUGAGGUGGGCACAAGAGUGCGCCCUGAGGGAAACAGAGAUCCCAACUCCCACCAGAGGGACAUCCGUGGCAAGAAGGCUCGGACAAGCUCCUUCCCAUUGUUUGAGCCUAGGAAUUUCUAGAAGAACCAGUUUUGUUGGCAAGUGACUUUUACCUGCUGUUUUACUGUCUCUAUGUCGUCUGCUCAAGCCCCACCAUGACAGUGGGGGUGAAGAUAUGGAGAACUGCUGAAACAGUUGCUCCUUCGGGGCAACAAUGAUACAGAGACGACGAUGAUCUUUAGAUCUUUAUAGUGAGCGAGGAUGGUGCUAACUUUGUUUGAUGUUUACGAACUGACUAAUAACCGUCGUUUUUUUCUUUCGCAUGCGUUAGGAGUUCAGUUGUUUGGUGCGCUUAAUAGGUAGUAGAAGAGUUGAUUAAACUGUUCAUGGUGUGAAGAACCUUUUGAUUUGCAGCUGACUUUGUUCACAUUGCGGACUUUGGAGUGUUCAUUCUGUUACUGUGGUAAUCGUUACCCACGUGUGAAGGCAUCAUCUCCAACUGUCUUAGUGUUUGAUUGUUUCUCUUCCAGUUGUGUUUGAGGGAAUGAAUUAACCCAGGUGAUAUUGUUUGUUCUGUGCUGUUGUUCAUCUGUCAAACGUUUGUGAUUACAGUUGAGCAAGUAUUGUUUUGUAUCAUGAAUUCAUGACUAAUGUAGUAGCAGAAGUUAAACAUAGCUUCAUGCAUCCAUAGGUUAUGGAUACUACAAGGAAGCAUCAUCAGGUGCACGAGCAGCCUGUACAGUCCAACAUCUUGAUCGAAGCAACACCUUUCCCAAUACCUCGCAAUCCGGUUAUGCUUCACCUCAUGCGGUAAACAUAUCUUGAAUCCAUAUACCAUUGGAGAAGAACAAUGGAGGAUGUAGAUAAUACUUUUGGUGGCUAUGUCGUGGCCAGGCUGUUUGUGCUAUGCAUUGCAGGACAUGUUGUACCCUGGGGGAUAUAUAUAUAGAGAGAGCUAGGGAUUUGAUGGCCAUGUGUAGAGCUAACCAUAACUUAUGCAACCCGUAGGCACAAACCUGAAUGUCCUGGCUUGUAGAGCUCUCAAACACCACCAGCCAUGAUACAAUCGACUCACCAACGGGCAUUGAGACGCCCUCAUAAAAGGCAAAAUAAAAACCCGAGAGGCAACAAAAUCCGAAGAUACUUUGUUAGAACCGCACGACAAUCGUGGUUAGCAUCUCAAAACUGAUGUCAACAAUAGAUGACGGUUCCUUGGAGCAUCCGCAACCCUUGGGGCUAAACCUCUAUACGUCUCUCCAAUAGAAAAAACACAGACCUAUCUUACUCCAUUGAUAUCAUCAUCGUAGUAAUAACAAAGUAAUUGAGUUCAAGUGGUUCCUUAGAUAAGAAGAAAUUCACAUAAUUUAUCCUUGUUGAUGGAAAGAAAACUAGUUUAAGAUGAAAAGUAAGUGCUCGUGGAUGUGACCACAAUGAAGCAUGCCCCUUUGCAGUCAAUCUGUCGAAUCUUUCGUGCAUAUUUUCUGUCAAUGCCCGUCCUCUGUCGAAACAUGAUUUAAGCCUAGCCUAAUAUGCAUUGAUUAACAAAGGUGUUAUUAAAUGAUAUGAAUAAAUAAUAGUACUGAACUAAACCUUCACUUUUUUGCAUCCAUACAAAUUCCAUUUGAUUAACCAUGGAACAGUUAUUAUAUGAUGAGUACAAGUUCCAAACUAUCACACAAAACUUCAGAAUGCUUGAGCGCAUGAUACCCUGGAAUCAUGAAAUGAAGACCUGAAAGAAUUUAUAGGUUGUACUCCCUUCGUAAAGAAAUAUAAGAGCGUUUAGAUGAGUGCGGCUAAUCUGCACCCGGGCUCAUCUGCACCCCCGCUUAAAAAAAAUUCAAAAAAAAUACUAGAAAAAUUCAAAAAAUUCCAAUUUUUUGUGGUGGCAGAUAAUUUGACGCGUGAGGUGCGCACCAAAAUUCAACUCAUUUGAGCAUCUGAGCAGCUCUCGGCAAAAAAGACAAAAUCAGGGUCUGUAAAAAUGUUUACUGUUCAUGCACUGUUUUGACCCGAUUUGUCUUUUUUGCCGACAGCUGCUCAGAUGUCCAAAUAAGUUGAAUUUUGGUGCGCACCUCACGCGUCUAAUUAUCUACCACCACAAAAAAAAUUGGAAUUUUUUGAAUUUUUCUAGUAUUUUUUUUAAAUUUUUUGCUGAGAGGGAGCAGAUGAGCCCGGGCACCGUUUUGAGUUUUCCCGUUUAGAUCACUAAACUUUCUUAUAUUUCUUUAUAGAGGGAGUAGUUGAUAGACAAGUUAGAUAGGCCAUGAUGGAGUGGCGGUGACUGGCGGAUGGCACUGAGGUGGAAAGAGCGGCAGUGGCCGGCAGAGUGGAAACAACCAGUGGUGGAACACAUGGUUGGGUGGGGCCAACGACCACUCUAACAUGCAUGCAUUGAGUGCGGGGGUUUGUUUCAGAACAAGAGCUCGUGCGCCGGUGCAUGAGAAAAAAACUGAGCAUGGGAGGAAGUUUUGCUAGGCCCGCAGGCAGACCGAGUGAAACUCAAGCUUUGACCAAGUCGAAUCCAAGUCCAACUUUUAUGGCUUAGAUGAGCCUUGCAAAGCAGAGCCAUGAGCUAGCUCGGCUCGACUUGUUUUCAAACGCAAGGAGCAACCUCUAGCCAGACAAUCAGUGUUUAACUUUUCUUUUUCAUCGAAAAAGGCUUUCGCCCCACUUUAUAUAUAAAGAAAAUCGUCACAAGCACAACCGGCAUCCAAUAGGAUAGUAGCACAACACACAACACACACCACACACACACACACACACACACACACACACACACACACAAGUUCGCACAAGAAAAGUAUUCUGCUGAGGGCACCACCACAAGAAGCCCUAAGAAACAAAAGCGGUACAUGCCGCGAGGGCGCUCCGUAGAGCUAGUUCAGAUCUUCCCUUUUUCACACAGUGGAGUAUGGAUGGUAGCUACAUUUUUUCCAAUGACUCUCAAUCCAACUUCCAUUCAUCUCUUCAGGGAAAUAGAUCUUGAAUUCAUGUGGUGUUGGAGAAGAACAAAGAAGGAUNNNNNNNNNNNNNNNNNNNNNNNNNNNNNNNNNNNNNNNNNNNNNNNNNNNNNNNNNNNNNNNNNNNNNNNNNNNNNNNNNNNNNNNNNNNNNNNNNNNNNNNNNNNNNNNNNNNNNNNNNNNNNNNNNNNNNNNNNNNNNNNNNNNNNNNNNNNNNNNNNNNNNNNNNNNNNNNNNNNNNNNNNNNNNNNNNNNNNNNNNNNNNNNNNNNNNNNNNNNNNNNNNNNNNNNNNNNNNNNNNNNNNNNNNNNNNNNNNNNNNNNNNNNNNNNNNNNNNNNNNNNNNNNNNNNNNNNNNNNNNNNNNNNNNNNNNNNNNNNNNGGGAGGUGUAUAUAUAGAGAGAUCUGGGCAUGUAAUUGCCAUGUGAAGACCUAGCGAAAUAUUACCUCUGUCCCAAAUGACUUGCCUUAAAUUUGUUUAGGUACCGAUGUACCUAACACUAAAACAUGUUCAAAUAUUUUUUUUUCAAAAGUAGCACGUUUUUUAUAGCAAUUUUGAAAACUAGCGGUGCUAACACGUUAUUUGCCAAACUAGCACCCCGUCAGUCAGCCGUUGGCCGAAGAGUGACUCUUCAGUCAGGUGUUGGCCGAAGAGUGUGUUUUCGGUCUGGCGUUGGCCGAAGACCUGCGGUGUCUUCGGCCAGCAGAUGGCCGAAGAGUGCUUUUCUGUCAUUUGUUGGCCGAAGAGUUCAUACUCUUUACGUUAACACCUGACCGAAGUUCCAUGGGAUUACUCUUCGGCUUACACAAGAGAACGGAGAACAUGCACCAACGGACAACACCAACGCCACCCCCUCGGCGGCACGAAGCUGCACCUCCUCCUCACCAGCCAAACCGCCUCCUCCUCCUCACCCCAUCAUGACUCUAACUCACUUGUACGCACAAAUAACUAUUCCAUAGAAAAAAAAUGACCGUAGGCCGGUGGAGAUGGCUACGAUAUACCAUUUCUGUGGUUUGGAUUCAAAAAUAGGUGGAGAAACGAAGAGAUCAGGGGGUGGGGGGGACGUACAGAGAGGAACCAAAGAGAGAGAGAGAGAGCAAGAACAACGAGACGAAAAAAGAAACCAGCUCGGGCCUUAUCCAAAGGUCUUCGGCCACUCAUUAGCCGAAAAGGUUUUCGGCCACGGGCUGGCCGAAGAGGCCCGUCUUCGGCCCAGCUCACACACUUUUCGGCUUACGUGUAACCGAAGAGUCCUCUUCGGGCUUCGGCUGGUCAGAAAGGCCCUCAUCGGCCAACGGUUGACCGACGGGGUGCUAGUUUUGCAAAUAACGUGUUAACACUGCUAGUUUUCUAAAUUGCUAUAAUAAAUGUGCUACUUUUGAAAAAAAAAUUCAAAUACAUCACUAUUUAGAACAAUCUAAGACAAAUAAUUCGGGAAGGAGGGAGUAAUAUGUAGCCUGCAGGUACAAACUGGAAUGUCAUGGCUUGUACAUGUCUCAACCACCCGCAGCCAAUGAUACAAGUCCACACACACAUGCACACGCACACGCGCGCGCGCACACACACAUACAUACCACAUAGACACAUACACGCACGCACUCACUCACACACACACACACACACACACGCACGCACACACACACAGGAUGCAUCAUAAUGUGAGGAUGCUUCCUUGCGUGACAAAGGAGGUAAGUCAUCCUAAAACUGGUAUAAAAAUAUAGGAUGCCUCUUAACAUCCACUAUUGGUUGCUUCAUCAAACAUGAAAUGCAGUUUAUCCAAAUUGAAAAGGUACAAUUUAGAUAUACGAGACCAGAACACACUUCUUAACACUGAUAUCAAUAUAUUAUGAAGCCACCGCACAUGACACAAUUUAUUCAACAACUACCUCUAGCAAGGACACAAUUGAUUCGCUUACUUGCAUUAGGAUGCCCUCACAUAAAGAAAAAUAAAAAAUGGAGAGGCAACAAAAACUGAGGACAUUUCCUUAGAAUUGCACAACAAAGCUCGGUUGGCAAUCUCAAAACUGAUCUCAACAAAAGAUUACGGUUCCUUAGAGCAUUAAUUCACAAUCCUUGGAGCUGAACCUCUAUAUAUCUGUCAUGUUAAAAGACGUAUCUCCUAAACACCGUUUUAGUCUUCUUUAACCCCACCAAUAUCACCAUUGUACCAAUAACUGAGUAAAUAAAUUUAAGAUUUUUUGGUUAAGAAGAAAUUCAUAGGAUUUAUCCUUGUUGAGAGAAAGAAAGCUAUAGUUUUAAGAUGAAAAAGAAGUCAGGUAAAUUUAUGCGCUUUGAUUACUACUAAACAUUCUUCAUGGCAUUUUCCCCUGAUCAGCUUGGUAUGCUGCAAAUCGCGAUCCUUUGCAUGCACUUGCUGAAACAAAUUGCUGCACUAGUCAUCUCUUUCUUUACUUGCUAUCAUUUCACCGCGUACUUCAUAGUAGCUAAGGAUACGUGAGCUCACAAGGUGUGAAAUAAGAAUAAGACCAAUCGAGACUUCAAAUGGGACAAUUUGAGCUGUAGAUCAUAAUGCCCAUUUGAAGGUAAAUCUCAACCAUAGAUGACUACUAGCACUAAACAUAAACCUUUCCUUCUUUGCAUUCACAAAUUUUUCAGUUGAGUACGUAUUGAGCAAUUAUGAUAUGGCGAGUACAACUUUCAAACUACUGGUUCAGUUGUUCAUGCGGCUCCGUCGUGUAGAGAAUGCAGAGGACGGUCAGCAAUGCUGGCAAGAACAACGAGUGACCGAGGUGGAGUAGCUACGUGCGAGGGAAUGGCUCCCAUUGGAGGAUUGACUGUGGUUAACGGAGUGGUGCUGGCUGGCCAAGGAGCAGACGGACGGGGUGGGAGCCGGCUGUGGAGUGGAGAUGCCUGACAGGGCUCUAGGAUUUCGUGCAUUGCAUGCUGGGGUCGGGAUCAGGAGAAGAGCAGAUACACGGGUACAGUGACAAGCAGCGGGAGUCGUUGGGCUUGCGUGCAGCUCUCGCCGAACUCAAGCUUUGACAUGGCCGAGUUCAAGCUUAGUUUUGUGAGUUUUGACGAGCCUGGACGAGGCAAGUCAUGACCCCGCUCGACAUGGCUUGUUUCCACCCCAUAAGCUAGAGAGACAUCAUUUAGCUUUCUUGUCACCGAGAGGGUUGUUGAUGGAUGCUACAUUUUUCCCAAUACCUUACAAUCCAAUUACAAUUUACCACAACCGGGUAAUAUAUCUAUGAAUCCAUAUACAUAGAAGAAGAACAAAGGAGGAUGUAGAUCAUAUUGUGGUGGCCUGCAUGCUAAUUCCUGCACACAUUGCAAGAGAUGAUGUAUCUUGGGGAAUACAUAUAUAGAGUUGGGCAUGUAAUGGCCAUGUGCUAGCUAAAAAUCAUGUAUUCAGCAGGUACACACAUAAUGUCCUGACUUGUAGAGCUCUUAAAACCAUCGUCAGCCAAUAAUGAUAGAAUCAGUUCGUUAUGAGCAUUGGAGUGCCCUCAUAAAGAAAAAAACUCUUUAGAUGCAGGACACAUGGAGGAGGAUGCUUCUUUACAUCUGCACAAUAGUAUGGUUAGGCCAACCCCAAUGCGGAUCACCAAAACAGACAUUACCAAAUCUCUGCGGGCAGACGCCGUUUAACCGGAGUCACCAAAUAUCUGGUCAAAUCCGAACAGAUAUUUAACAAAAGCCGAUGAAAUUCAUACAACCAGUAGGACAAAAAUUAACAAAGUUUGAAUUAACCGGAAAAAAAAAAUCAAAACUACACUCGAGAUACAGGACGAUGACCUUGUACGCAUGGUCCCUGAGACAGCCGACACCAUAGUCCUUGUCUGCGCCGUCGCCACUGCCGUCAGAGCCGUCAUAUUCAACGUGCUUUCAGUCCACAGGAACAUUGGCAAGCAUCGCGACAACCCUCAUUGGUUACUGCUGCACAAUUGCGGUCCAGUAAGUUGGCCUCCUUCGCCUAGGCAGCGCCUUGGCCGCCUCGGUGGGGAGCCGGAUCCCCUGACGUACGGCCACCUGACGUUGGGCCACUGACGCGUGGAUCCGGGUCCACACGUCAGCGAGUGCGCCGUACGUCAGAGGAGCUGCGUCCCCUCGGUGGUGCCGACACAACCGUGGACUCAGUCGCGCGCAGCACACAUUUGAGCCGGUCCAAGCACUCGGACUCGGCCAACCCCACUUUGAGGAGCUGGUCGCUGAUCUGGCACCCGCCACAAGUGGUGGUCUGCGCGGUGUUCCUGGACCGGUCAAUGCCUAGGCCUUCGCGACUGCACACCUCGCGAACGACACCCGAUGGUAUGCGUUUCAUCACUACUAGAGCGCCGCCUCACAGGCCACCAUGGAGGACACCAUCAUUCUUGAAGACGAGCUGUUGCCACCGAGGUAGUAGGCGAGGUGUCUGCGCUGUAAAAAUUAUUGAAUGAUUGUGUUGUUAUGUGUUGUUGUAUUGAUCUAACACUCGUAGGGGUAUAUAUAAAGUACAACAUGCGAUGAGACUUGGAGUACAAGACAAGUCAUAGUAUAUUAAAACUAAUUCUAUCUCCAUCUCUCCUUAUCUCUAACUGAACACGUUUAUAUUAUUACAUUCCCCCUCACUCGUAGCGGGUCGCCGGAGUGAAGCGGACAAGUACGACUGAAUUUGAAGUCUUGUGCUUCCGUCGUCUUCUCCGCUGCGCCAUCAUCAAUUGCGUCUCUGAUGGGUCGGCACCUAGGGCGGUGACUGCGUCCCCUUCUCGUGCUUCCUUGUCUCUUCCCUCUUCCCUGUCGUAGUCACAGCAGGAGUGACGUGAACGCUGAUGACGACGCGGAAGCUGUUGACUGGAGUUGUUGCCGAUAUGUUGCUGUAGACGUAGCCAUUAAUGUCAAUAUCGAGGUAGCCGAUCAUGGUGAUGUAGCCGUGGUCGAGGUAGUCGUGGUCGAUGGUGUGGUCGUCGUGGAUGAUGAAGCCGCAUAGAGCCUGAAGGCGCAAAAAAUGCGCUAUGACGGAGCUGCAGACGUGGACGAUGCACCUUGCGGAUGUGAGAGGGUGCCAUCGGUGACAAGUUGCCGGUUUUGCCAAGACCAGAGGAAGCCCAUCAAGAACACAUCGGUUUUGCUAGAACCGUGUGGCCAUGUAGGGUCGUCACUGUAGUGACGCCGUGUCGAUGCAGUCGUGCUGUCGUGGAUGACGCCAUCGAUGCUGUCGUCGUUGUCGCGUCUUGCAGAAAAGUCUGUCAGAGGACACUAGGUGUCCAUCUUGUGUACAAGGCAGCGGCGGUGCGUUGACGAAAAUGUUGGUGAAGACCAUGUUGAUGAAGAGCUUGGCGAUGAUGUUGCAGCGGCGUGUCGACGAUAAUGUGUCGCUUGAAGGCGUCCCUCGCGGCGACCAAGUGUCAAUGCCGUGUCGCGCCAGAAAAGUCAAUGAAGAUUGCAUCUCGUUCCACACCGGCCUGACGUGUGGAUGGUGCAUGUUGAGAUCGCUUCUCGUAGACAUACUCGUCGAAGUAUAUUGGCUUGUAGUCUGGCGUAGUGUAUAGCUUGAUGAUGCGGCGUGGGUCGGCGGAUGGUGCGUCGUUCAGUCGCGUGGCCGCCCUCCCGGUCGAUGCCUCGUAUAUGCGCAAAUGGAUGUGUAGCUGGCGGUUGUCGAUGGCUGCACGUGUCGGAGUCCAUGUAUCGCUGCAUGCAUCUCCUCGCAUGGCUGGAUGGGCCUUUGACAAUGGAGGCUGCUGGGGCGGCUUGGGCGGCACCGUAAGCCAGCCGCCGCCCGCUCCCCUCCCUCCAUCUCUUUCCCUCGCCGUCACCUGAGGAGUCCGGCGAGAAAUCUCACUGCGCUUUCGAGGAGGGUGGCAACCAGGCGUUCUCUCUCCAGCCCAGGCGAGUGGUGCGGGAAGCCAACGCGUGGAGUGCUCAUGGCGGCUGGUGUCAAGGCUCUUGUAGAUCCGGCUCGCUGGUGGUCGGGGAUGCAACGUAUGAUGGCGGAUCCGGUGAGCAGUAGGUGCUCCGUUGGUGUAGUGCAGUCGUUGGGCGUCGACGUGGCUUCGGUCGUGGACGUCGGUCCCCAGCCCGGGGGAUCUGGAUCUGGCCGGUCUGCCCCCCUAUCUGCGGGCUGGUGGCCUAGAAGGAGUGCUGCUGGCGGUCGGUGGUGCCCGGUUGGCGCGAGCAAGUAGGCUCUGGCCGUGGUGGAUGCGUGGGGUGCAGGGCCGAUCUGGCUUGUGCAAGCCCGACGUCGCGGGGGCUCAGCGGGCCCGUGUUUGCCGGCGGUGAGGAAGAUGGUGGUCCUGGGCAGUGUUGGCGUGCUCGCUGCGUUGGGGUGCGCGGCCAGCGGAGGUACUUGUCGGCCUUGGCUGGCUGCGUGGGAGUGGUUGCUCCGGGCGAAAGCUUGGCCGGUGCUCGCCGGUCGGCGACGACGGCGCCCGUGGGCGUCGUUAUCCUCCUUGGAGGCAUCGUUGGGAUCUGCAUCCUCUACUCCCGGGUCAGGAUCUUCGGGUGAAACCCAAGAUCCUGCUAUAGGAUCGGGCGGUGGCGUCGUCUUCAAUGUCGUUUUCCCCUCUUUAGAACGCCGUCUUGAAGAUCCUGGUCCCAUUGGUGCCUCCUACGGGCUGGCCGUGCACGGCAUUGUGGCUAUCCGUUUGUCAAUGAGGGUGGUUGGACUUCUAUGGCAACGAUGACGGUGGUGAGCAUGGUCGGGGGCAUGGCAUUGGUCGUGGUAGUUGGCUCUUCUCCGACGUGUCCGUUGGAUGGCCUUAGCUGCUUGUUGCUGUGAAGUCGAAGCCGCGGUGCAGGGCGGUGCGGGGCCCUGGUGGCGUACGACAGGUGCUCCGUUUGGCGAUUCUUCGCGACGCCAACCUUGCCUAGUUCUCCGUAGUUCUUCGUUGGAGUCGAAGCUACGUUGUCUUGUUGUGGGUGGAUGGUGAUCCACAACGUGAGUAUAGUGUUGUUCUGCAGCCAAUAGGUUGUCGUUUUUUUUUCUUUUUUUUUGAUCUUUGGAUCCUCUUCAUGUUGUUUUUCCGUUGCUUUCUGCUAAAUCUAAUCGAAGCCAGCAAUUUGCUGGAUCUUAAAAAAAAAGAUAAUGGAGGCUGCUGGUGGCUGUUUGAGGAGCCGGUGGCCGCUCUGGAUCACGCUUGCGCGAUUCCUGCCGUGCGUGCUCGUGGCCGGCCCUCCUGUGUGGCCUCGGCUGGUGGACGCGAGGAGGUGGUCGUCGUUGCCCUUGAUCUCUCAGCCUGUGCAAAGCUAGCUAGCCUGAGGCUUGAUCCAUCACUGGCCAAAUUACCAAGCUAGCUCACGAUGCGAGGAUGCCGCGGCCGGCGCGGCCUUCCGGAUCGAAGGUGUCGUGUGCCUGGUGUCGAGGGAGCCGCCCAAAGCCACGAGAUGUGUAGCUUGAUGCCGCAGGUGAUCGCCGCCGCGUACGUCGAUAGGUGUUGUACGAUUGGCCGCCGGUAUAAGCACCAAUUUUUGCUGGAAUUUGAGGGCAGCAGGAUUUUAUUUGGUGGCUAAUUGAAUUAAUCUAGUGGAUGGAUUUUGGAAAACUCGAAAUUGGAAACCUAUGAAAAUCUAAUUGGAUCUAAUCUAUCUAAUGAACCGGUCUAUCUUUGAUGGUCGGAAGCCACGCCCUCGGGGAGAGGAGAUUAAUCUACCCGGAGGCGACACACUGCGGAAGUGGUGGAAGGUCCUAGGAUCAGCGUCGUUGGACAAACUGCUCUAAUAUCAUGUAGAAAUUGUAGGAUGGUUGUGUUGUUAUGUGUAGCUGUAUUGAUCUGACACUCGUAGGGGUAUAUAAAAAGUACAACAUGUGGUGAAACUUGGAGCACAAGACAAGUCAUAGUAUAUUAAAACUAAUUCUAUCUCCAUCUCUCCUUAUCUCUAACUAAAUAUGGUACCUGAGCCAAGAGUUUCAAUAAACGAUUCUGCGGUCUACAUCAAUCCCACGUCUAAGGACUAAAAUAGACUAGACGUGAUGGGUGGUGUUGAAGUGUAAUGUCCGGUCCUCUUUCAUAGUUCGGACUGAUGGUGAACUGGUUAAUUGCAUAAACUUACAACCAAGAGGUUCAGGGUUCAAAACCCAGUAAAAGCAAUAAAUAAUUGUGGCCUGCCCCCGCUUGCGCUGCCUUCGUCGUAUAGCCAGUAGCUCCCGGAGUGACAACUGCGUACACCUCCAAGAAUAUUUAUUUAUCAGGUAAGAUGCCUGUGUAAAUUGCAAGAUUUUUGAAAGUUUAAUCAUGACUCUCAGUUGGAAAAAAUAUUUAUAUUGUUGGAGACAAUUGUAAGACUACUGAAUUUAGUUGUGCUGAAACUUUCAACCAAGAUGAAAUGAUUCCACAUUUGGACCCUGGGAUGGUUUCUUCAACCGUUGAUCCUGAUGCUGCUGGAUACGCUGAAAGAGCAAACAAAGCCAAGAAGCCAGUCAAGAUUAGUGCCCGAAGCCUUGCAAAGCCGGAAAGAAACGAGGUGAUGAAAGCUGCAGCAAAAGCUCGGGCAUCAUCCUCUAUUCUCCGACCAAUAGAUGCCCGCCAUGGCAAUGAAGCUGAUAUUAGCUCCAGUGGCAAUGCCAAUGUCAGGAGUAGCAUGAGUGUUGACUACAGUGCUACAAAGGAAUCGAGGAGUGAGAUGCUGCUGUUCCCUCUACGGAACUUGUAUCCGCAGAGUCUUGCCAGUUACGAUGACUAUGAGACUGGCACACAGACUGCAAACAGUUUAAACAGCCCGGUCCACAUCCACAAGUUUGCCCCUCAUGCUCAAUUUCGUGUAGCACCUCAUCCAGCUCCACCUCCUAAAAGGCCUGCGCUAGGGAUUACAAGGCCACAUGUUCCUGCCACACAUAUAAGUAACAACCCAAUGUUCCAGUCAGCCACAUCAUAUGUCAGGGAGAACCGAAGAGCCUCUGUUGUCUGGGAUCAAGAGGCUGGUCGGUACGUGUCAGUGCCCAUGCAAACAACAAGAACAGGGCCCGGUGUUGAGCUGCCUGCAAGAAACCCAAGUUUCUUGGUGAAUCCAAGUGGUGAACCAGGCAACCAUGGGAGAAAUCUUGCACCUGCCAACACAACUUCAUCAGCGAUUCCUUCGGGGCAGCUGUCCGAGAGGUUGACGUACACAGGCCAAUCAAUAUUCUUUGGCGGGCCAAUCCUGAGCACCACUGGCAUAAAUGAAGAAAGGAAUGAGGCGGGCACAAGAGUGCGUCCUGAGACAAGCAGAGAUCCCAACUCCCACCAGCGUGACAUCCGUGGUGAGAAGGCUCGGACAGGCUCCUUCCCGUUGUAUGAGCCUAGGAAUUUCUAGAAGAACCUGCUUUGAUGGCAAGUGACCUUGACUGGCUGUUUUACUCUUCUAUACUAUGUCGUCUGCUCAAGUGCCACCACCACGACAGUGGGGGUGAUGUUGAUGCACUGCACCCCAUGCAGAGUCAGGGAACUGCUAAAAUAGUUGACCCGGGACACAUAGAUAACGAUGCUUCUUAGAGCUUUAUUAUAGUGAGCGAGGAUGGCGCUAACUUUGUUUGAUGUUUUACAAACUGACUGAUAGUCGCAGUUUUAUUUUGCGUGUAUUAGGAGUUGAGAUGUUUGAUGCGCUUGGCAUGUAGUAGAAGAGCUGAUUAAACUUGUCCUUGAUGUGUAGAACCUUGUGAUUUGCCGCUGACUUUGUUCACAUUACGGACUUCGGAGUGUUCAUUGCAAGUCUCUGUUCUAUUACUGCUGUAAUAGUAGCCCACGUGUGAAGGCAUUGUCUCCAACUAUCUUGGCGUUUGACUGCUUUAUUUUCGUGUUGAGAGAAUGGAAUUUGACCGGAUGAUACUGCUUGCUGCAUAAUUGAUGUUCAUUUUCCAAACUAAAUUAGUGAGAUGGGUAUGAUUGCAAUUGAAUAAUUCUUGUUCUGUAUCAUGAGUUCAUAUCUAAAUAAACUGCGGCUUAUUAGUGCCACUGCAUUGCUGUCAACGUGCCAAGGAUGUUGCAAAAUUCCCCGCGUUUAUGUAAACUACUCCCUCUGUCCAAUAAUAUUAUCAGACAGAGGGAGUACCUAUUUGAACAUGGCAAGAAUAAUGAUAGUACCGGAAGUUAAACUUAGUUUCAUUGCAUCCAUAGGUUGUGGAUGCUCUAUGGAAGCAUCACUUCUGCGCCAUCAGGCUCAUUGCCACAACCUUUAGUUAGGAAUCCUGUGUUUAAUUCUCUUUUCUUUACGGGCUGACUUCUUGAUCGAAGCAACAUCUUUCUCAAUACCACACAAUCAGAUUACCAUUCACCUCGCGCGGGAAACAGAUCUUGAAUCCAUAUGCCAUGGGAGAAGAACAAAGGAGGAUGUAGAUCAUACAAUGGCGGCCAGAGUGUUAUUUUUUGUUUUGUUUUUGGAUGAAGUGGUGUUCUGGGUGUUUGCUGUAUGCAUUGCAACAUAUGAUGUAUCCUGGGGAUAUAUAUAGAGAGAUCUAGGGUUGUAAUGACUGUUGGAAAUAUGCCCUAGAGGCAAUAAUAAAAGGAUUAUUAUUAUAUUUCCUUGUUCAUGAUAAUUGUCUUUAUUCAUGCUAUAGUUGUAUUAUCCGGAAAUCGUAAUACACGUGUGAAUACAUAGACCACAAUAUGUCCCUAGUAAGCCUCUAGUUGACUAGCUCGUUGAUCAACAGAUAGUCAUGGUUUCCUGACUAUGGACAUUGGAUGUCAUUGAUAACGGGAUCACAUCAUUAGGAGAAUGAUGUGAUGGACAAGACCCAAUCCUAAGCAUAGCACAAGACCGUGUAGUUCGUUUUGCUAGAGCUUUUCCAGUGUCAAGUAUCUUUUCCUUAGACCAUGAGAUCCUGUAACUCCCGGAUACCGUAGGAGUGCUUUGGGUGUACCAAACGUCACAACGUAACUGGGUGACUAUAAAGGUGCACUACAGGUAUCUUCGAAAGUGUCUGUUGGGUUGAAACGGAUCGAGAUUGGGAUUUGUCACUCCGUAUGACGGAACAAGGUAUUGGGAUACCAACGGUCGAAUCUUGGGCAAGUAACGUACCGAUUGACAAAGGGAAUUGUAUACGGGGUUGCUGAAAUCCUCAACAUCAUGGUUCAUCCGAUGAGAUCAUCGAGGAGCAUGUGGGAGACAACAUGGGUAUCCAGAUCCGCUGUUGGUUAUUGACCGGAGAGCCGCCUCGGUCAUGUCUGCGUGUCUCCCGAACCCGUAGGGUCUACACACUUAAGGUUCGAUGACGCUAGGGUUGUAUGAAUAUGAGUAUGCAGUAAACCGAAAGUUGUUCGGGGUCCCGGAUGAGAUCCCAGACGUCACGAGGAGUUUCGGAAUGGUCCGGAGGUAAAGAAUUAUAUAUGGGAAGUCGAGUUUCGGCCAUCGGGAAAGUUUCGGGGUCCACCAGUAUUGUACCGGGACCACCGGAAGGGUCCCGGGGGUCCACCGGGUGGGUCCACCUAUCCCGGAGGGCCCCGUGGGCUGAAGUGGGGAGGGUACCAGCCCCUGGUGGGCUGGUGCGCUCCCCUGGGCCCCCCUCUGGUGGUUCAUCCGAUGAGAUCAUCGAGGAGCAUGUGGGAGCCAACAUGGGUAUCCAUAUCCCGCUGUUGGUUAUUGACCGGAGAGCCGUCUCGGUCAUGUCUGCGUGUCUCUCGAACCCGUAGGGUCUACACACUUAAGGUUCGGUGACGCUAGGGUUGUAUGAAUAUGAGUAUGCAGUAAACCGAAAGUUGUUCGGGGUCCCGGAUGAGAUCCCAGACGUCACGAGGAGUUCCAGAAUGGUCCGGAGGUAAAGAAUUAUAUAUGGGAAGUCGAGUCUCGGCCAUUGGGAAAGUUUUGGGGUCCACCGGUAUUGUACCGGGACCACCGGAAGGGUCCCGGGGGUCCACCGGGUGGGGCCAUCUAUCCCGGAGGGCCCCGUGGGCUGAUGUGGGGAGGGGACCAGCCCCUGGUGGGCUGGUGCACCCCUCCUGCCCCCCCUCUGUGCCUAGGGUUGGGAACCCUAGGGGAGGGGGCGCCUCCACUUGCCUUGGGGGGCACUCCACCCCCUUGGCCGCCGCCCCCCUAGAGAUCCCAUCUCUAGGGCCGGCACCCCCCUGGGGGUCCCUAUAUAAAGAGGGGGGGGGGAGGGAGGGCAGCCGCACCUGAAGUCUUGGCGCCUCCCUCUCCCCUUGCUACACCUCCUCCUCCCGUAAUCGCUUGGCGAAGCCCUGCCGGAACCCUACUGCAUCCACCACCACGCCGUCGUGCUGCUGGAUCUUCAUCAACCUCUCCUUCCCUCUUGCUGGAUCAAAAAGGAGGAGACAUCAUCCGCUCCGUACGUGUGUUGAACGCGGAGGUGCUGUCCGUUCGGCACUUGGUCAUCGGUGAUUUGGAUCACGACGAGUACGACUCCCUCAACCCCAUUCUCUUGAACGCUUCCGCUCGCGAUCUACAAAGGUAUGUAGAUGCACUUCUAUCACUCAUUGCUAGAUGAACUCCUAGAUGGAUCUUGGUGAAACCGUAGAUUUUUUUUAUUUUCUGCAACGUUCCCCAACAGUGGUAUCAAAGCCAGGUUUAUGCGUAGUUCUCUAUUACAUGAGUAGAACACAAAUCUGUUGUGGGCGUAGAUCUUGUCAACUUGCUUGCCGCAACUAGUCUUAUUUUGCUUCAGCGGUAUUGUGGGAUGAAGCAUCCCGGACCGACCUUACACGUACGCUUACGUGAGACAGGUUCCACCGAUUGACAUGCCCUAGUUGCAUAAGGUGGCUAGCGGGUGUAUGUCUCUCCCACUUUAGUUGGAGCGGAUUCGAUGAAAAGGGUCCUUAUGAAGGGUAAAUAGAAGUUGACAAAAUCACGUUGUGGUUAUUCGUAGGUAAGAAAAUGUUCUUGCUAGAACCCAAUUGCAGCCACGUAAAAGAUGCAACAACAAUUAGAGGACGUCUAACUUGUUUUUGCAGCAAUUGCCUUGUGAUGUGAUAUGGCCAACAGUUGUGAUGAAUGAUGAAUGAUAUAUUGUGAUGUAUGAGAUCAUGUUCUUGUAAUAGGAAUCACGACUUGCAUGUCGAUGAGUAUGACAACCGGCAGGAGCCAUAGGAGUUGUCUUAAUUAUUGUAUGACCUGCGUGUCAAUGAUUUAACGCCAUGUAAUUACUUUACUUUAUUGCUAAACCGUUAGCCAUAGUAGUAGAAGUAAUAGUUGGCGAGCAACUUCAUGGAGGCACGAUGAUGGAGAUCAUGAUGAUGGAGAUCAUGGUGUCAUGCCGGUGACGAAGAUGAUCAUGGAGCCCCGAAGAUGGAGAUCAAAGGAGCUAUAUGAUAUUGGCCAUAUCAUGUCACUACUAUAUAAUUGCAUGUGAUGUUUAUUAUGUUUAUGCAUCUUGUUUACUUAGAACGAUGGUAGUAAAUAAGAUGAUCCCUUAUAACAAUUUCAAGAAAGUGUUCUCCCCUAACUGUGUGCCGUUGCUAAAGUUCGUCGUUUGAAGCACCACGUGAUGAUCGGGUGUGAUAGAUUCUUACGUUCACAUACAACGAGUGUAAGACAGUUUUACACAUGCAAAAACACUUAGGGUUAACUUGACGAGCCUAGCAUGUACAGACAUGGCCUCGGAACACAGGGACCGAAAGGUCGCACAUGAGUCGUAUGACGAUCAACAUGGAGAUGUUCACCGAUGAUGACUAGUCCGUCUGACGUGAUGAUCGGACACGGCCUAGUCGACUCGGAUCGUGUAACACUUAGAUGACUAGAGGGAUGUCUAAGCUGAGUGGGAGUUCAUUAAAAUAAUUUGAUUAGAUGAACUUAAUUAUCAUGAACUUAGUAUAAAAUCUUUGCAAAAUAUGUCUUGUACUCCCUCCGUCCAUGAAUAAGUGUACAUCUAGCUUUUGUCUUAAGUCAAAGUUUUAAAACUUUGACCACCUUUCUAGGAAAAAAUAAAAGCAUUUAUGACACCAAGUUAGUAUCACUAGAUUCAUUUUGAAAUGUACUUUGAUAAUCUAUCAAUUUGAUGUCAUAUAUGUUACUAUUAUUUUCUAUAAAGUUGGUCAAAAUUUUAAAAUUUUGACUUAGAACAAAAGCUAGAUGUACACUUAUUCGCGGACGGAGGGAGUAGAUCAAAUGGCCAACGCUCAUGUCAACAUGAACUUCAAUACGUUCCUAGAGAAAACCAAGCUGAAAGAUGAUGGUAGCAACUAUACGGACUGGGUCCGGAACCUGAGGAUCAUCCUCAUAGCUGCCAAGAAAGCAUAUGUCCUAGAAGGACCACUAGGUGAAGCACCCAUCCCAGAGAACCAAAACGUUAUGAAUGCUUGGCAGUCACGUGCUGAUGAUUGCUCCCUCGUUCAGUGUGACUUGCUUUACAGCUUAGAACCGGGGCUCCAAAAGCGUUUUGAGCACCACGGAGCAUAUGAGAUGUUUGAGGAGCUGAAAAUGGUUUUCCAAGCUCAUGCCCGGGUCGAGAGAUAUGAAGUCUCCGACAAGUUCUAUAGUUGUAAGAUGGAGGAAAAUAGUUCUGUCAGUGAGCACAUACUCAAAAUGUCUGGGUUGCACAAUCGCCUGUCCCAGGUGGACAUUAACCUCCCGAACGAGGCGGUCAUUGGCAGAAUCCUUCAGUCGCUCCCGCCGAGCUACAAGAGCUUUGUGAUGAACUACAAUAUGCAGGGGAUGGUGAAAACUAUUCCUAAAGUAUUUUCAAUGCUGAAGUCGGCAGAGGUAGAAAUCAAGAAAGAACAUCAAGUGUUGAUGGUCAAUAAAACCACCAAGUUUAAGAAGGGCAAGGGUAAGAAGAACUUCAAGAAGGACGGCAAAGAUGUUGCCGCACCCGGUAAGCCAGUUGCCGGGAAGAAGUCAAAGAAUGGACCCAAGCCCGAGACUAAGUGCUUUUAUUGCAAAGGGAAGGGUCACUGGAAGCGGAACUGCCUCAAAUACUUAGCGGACAAGAAGGCCGGCAACACUAAAGGUAUAUGUGAUAUACAUGUAAUUGAUGUGUACCUUACUAGUAAUCGUAGUAACUCCUGGGUAUUUGAUACCGGUGUCGUUGCUCAUAUUUGUAACUCACAGCAGGAGCUGCAGAAUAAGCGGAGACUGGCGAAGGACGAGGUGACGAUGCGCGUCGGGAAUGGUUCCAAGGUCGAUGUGAUCGCCGUCAGCACGCUACCUCUACAUUUACCUACGGGAUUAGUUUUAAACCUUAAUAAUUGUUAUUUAGUGCCAAGUUUGAGCAUGAACAUUGUAUCUGGAUCUUGUUUAAUACGAGAUGGCUACUCAUUUAAAUCCGAGAAUAAUGGUUGUUCUAUUUAUAUGAGAGAUAUGUUUUAUGGUCAUGCCCCGAUGGUCAAUGGUUUAUUCUUAAUGAAUCUCGAACGUAGUGUUACACAUAUUCAUAGUGUGAAUAUCAAAAGAUGUAAAGUUCAUAUUCAUAGUGUGAAUACCAAAAGAUGUAAAGUUAAUAACGAUAGUCCCACAUACUUGUGGCACUGCCGCCUUGGUCACAUUGGUGUCAAGCGCAUGAAGAAGCUCCAUGCUGAUGGACUUUUAGAGUCUCUCGAUUAUGAAUCAUUUGACACAUGCGAACCAUGCCUCAUGGGCAAAAUGACCAAGACUCCGUUCUCCGGAACAAUGGAGCGAGCAACCAACUUAUUGGAAAUCAUACAUACCGAUGUGUGCGGUCCAAUGAGCAUUGAGGCUCGUGGAGGAUAUCGUUAUGUUCUCACUCUCACUGAUGACUUGAGUAGAUAUGGGUAUGUCUACUUUAUGAAACACAAGUCUGAGACAUUUGAAAGGUUCAAGGAAUUUCAGAAUGAGGUAGAGAAUCAACGUGACCGAAAGAUAAAAUUCUUAUGAUCAGAUCGUGGAGGAGAAUAUUUAAGUCACGAAUUUGGUACACACUUAAGAAAAUGUGGAAUCGUUUCACACUCACGCCGCCUGGAACACCUCAGCGUAAUGGUGUGUCCGAACGUCGUAAUCGCACUCUAUUGGAUAUGGUGCGAUCUAUGAUGUCUCUUACCGAUUUACCGCUAUCAUUUUGGGGAUACGCUCUAGAGACAGCUACAUUCACUUUAAAUAGGGCUCCGUCUAAAUCCGUUGAGACGACACCGUAUGAAUUAUGGUUUGGGAAGAAACCUAAGCUGUUGUUUCUAAAAGUUUGGGGAUGCGAUGCUUAUGUCAAGAAACUUCAACCUGAAAAGCUCGAACCCAAGUCGGAAAAAUGCGUCUUCAUAGGAUACCCUAAGGAAACCAUUGGGUAUACCUUCUACUUAAGAUCCGAGGGCAAGAUCUUUGUUGCCAAGAACGGAUCCUUUCUGGAAAAAGAGUUUCUCUCGAAAGAAGUAAGUGGGAGGAAAGUAGAACUCAAUGAAGUACUACCUCUUGAACCGGAAAGUAGUGCAACUCAGGAAAAUGUUCCUGUGGUGCCUACACCAACUGGAGAGGAAAUUAAUGAUGAUGAUCAAGGUACUUCGGAUCAAGUUGCUACUGAACUUCAUAGGUCCACAAGGACACGUUCCACACCAGAGUGGUAUGGCAACCCUGUCCUGGAAAUCAUGUUGUUAGACAACGGUGAACCUUCGAACUAUGAAGAAGCGAUGGUGGGCCCAGAUUCCAACAGAUGGCUUGAAGCCAUGCAAUCCGAGAUAGAAUCCAUGUAUGAAAACAAAGUAUGGACUUUGACAGACUUGCCCGAUGAUCGGCGAGUGAUAGAAAACAAAUGGAUCUUUAAGAAGAAGACGGACACGGAUGGUAAUAUUACCAUCUAUAAAGCUCGACUUGUCGCUAAGGGUUAUCGGCAAGUUCAAGGGGUUGACUACGAUGAGACAUUCUCUCCCGUAGCGAAGCUGAAGUCCGUUCGAAUCAUGUUAGCAAUUGCCACAUACUAUGAUUAUGAGAUAUGGCAGAUGGACGUCAAAACGGCAUUCCUUAACGGACAUCUUAAGGAAGAACUGUAUAUGAUGCAGCCGGAAGGUUUUGUCGAUCCUAAGAAUGCUAACAAAGUAUGCAAGCUCCAGCGAUCCAUUUAUGGGCUGGUGCAAGCAUCUCGGAGUUGGAACAUUCGCUUUGAUGAGAUGAUCAAAGCGUUUGGGUUUAUGCAGAAUUAUGGAGAAGCCUGCGUUUACAAGAAAGUGAGUGGGAGCUCUAUAGCAUUUCUCAUAUUAUAUGUAGAUGAAAUAAUUUUGAUGGGAAAUGAUAUAGAACUUUUGGAAAACAUUAAGGCCUACUUGAAUAAGUGUUUUCAAUAAAGGACCUUGGAGAAGCUGCUUACAUAUUAGGCAUCAAGAUCUAUAGGGAUAGAUCAAGACGCCUCAUAGGUCUUUCACAAAGCACAUACCUUGAUAAGAUUUUGAAGAAGUUCAAAAUGGAUCAGUCCAAGAAAGGGUUCUUGCCUGUAUUGCAAGGUGUGAGAUUGAGCGCGGCUCAAUGCCCGACCACGGCAAAAGAUAAAGAAGAGAUGAGUGUCAUCCCCUAUGCUUCAGCCAUAGGAUCUAUUAUGUAUGCCAUGCUGUGUACCAGACCUGAUGUAAACCUUGCCGUAAGUUUGGUAGGAAGGUACCAAAGUAAUCCCGGCAAGGAACACUGGACAACAGUCAAGAAUAUCCUGAAGUACCUGAAAAGGACAAAGGACAUGUUUCUCGUUUAUGGAGGUGACGAAGAGCUCGCCGUAAAGGGUUACGUCGACGCUAGCUUCGACACAGAUCUGGAUGACUCUAAGUCACAAACCGGAUACGUGUAUAUGUUGAAUGGUGGAGCAGUAAGCUGGUGCAGCUGCAAGCAGAGCGUCGUGGCGGGAUCUACAUGUGAAGAGGACUACAUGGCAGCCUCGGAGGCAGCGCAUGAAGCAAUUUGGAUGAAGGAGUUCAUCAUCGACCUAGGAGUCAUACCCAAUGCGUCGGGGCCGAUCAAACUCUUCUGUGACAACACUGGAGCUAUUGCCCUUGCAAAGGAGCCCAGGUUUCACAAGAAGACCAGGCACAUCAAGCGUCGUUUCAACUCCAUCCGUGAAAAUGUUCAAGAUGGAGACAUAGAUAUUUGCAAAGUACAUACGGAUCUGAAUGUCGCAGAUCCGUUGACUAAACCUCUUUCGCGAGCAAAACAUGAUCAACACCAGAACUCUAUGGGUGUUCGAUUCAUAACAAUGUAACUAGAUUAUUGACUCUAGUGCAAGUGGGAGACUGUUGGAAAUAUGCCCUAGAGGCAAUAAUAAAAGGAUUAUUAUUAUAUUUCCUUGUUCAUGAUAAUUGUCUUUAUUCAUGCUAUAGUUGUAUUAUCCGGAAAUCGUAAUACACGUGUGAAUAUAUAGACCAUAAUAUGUCCCUAGUAAGCCUCUAGUUGACUUGCUCGUUGAUCAACAGAUAGUCAUGGUUUCCUGACUAUGGACAUUGGAUGUCAUUGAUAAUGGGAUCACAUCAUUAGGAGAAUGAUGUGAUGGACAAGACCCAAUCCUAAGCAUAGCACAAGAUCGUGUAGUUCGUUUUGCUAGAGCUUUUCCAAUGUCAAGUAUCUUUUCCUUAGACCAUGUGAUCGUGUAACUCCCGGAUACCGUAGGAGUGCUUUGGGUGUACCAAACGUCACAACGUAACUGGGUGAUUAUAAAGGUGCACUACAGGUAUCUCUGAAAGUGUCUGUUGGGUUGACACGGAUCGAGACUGAGAUUUGUCACUCCGUAUGACGGAGAGGUAUCUCUGGGCCCACUCGGUAAUGCAUCAUCAUAAUGAGCUCAAAGUGGCCAAGUGUCUGGUCACGGGAUCAUGCAUUGCGGUACGAGUAAAGUGACUUGCCGGUAACGAGAUUGAACAAGGUAUUGGGAUACCGACGAUCGAAUCUCGGGCAAGUAACGUACCGAUUGAUAAAGGGAAUUGUAUACGGGGUUGCUUAAAUCCUCGACAUCGUGGUUCAUCCGAUGAGAUCAUCGAGGAGCAUGUGGGAGCCAACAUGGGUAUCCAUAUCCCGCUGUUGGUUAUUGACCGGAGAGCCGCCUCGGUCAUGUCUGCGUGUCUCUCGAACCCGUAGGGUCUACACACUUAAGGUUCGGUGACGCUAGGGUUGUAUGAAUAUGAGUAUGCAGUAAACCGAAAGUUGUUCGGGGUCCCGGAUGAGAUCCCAGACGUCACGAGGAGUUCCAAAAUGGUCCGGAGGUAAAGAAUUAUAUAUGGGAAGUCGAGUCUCGGCCAUUGGGAAAGUUUUGGGGUCCACCGGUAUUGUACCGGGACCACCGGAAGGGUCCCGGGGGUCCACCGGGUGGGGCCACCUAUCCCGGAGGGCCCCGUGGGCUGAUGUGGGGAGGGGACCAGCCCCUGGUGGGCUGGUGCACCCCUCCUGCCCCCCCUCUGCGCCUAGGGUUGGGAACCCUAGGGGAGGGGGCGCCUCCACUUGCCUUGGGGGGCACUCCACCCCCUUGGCCGCCGCCCCCCUAGAGAUCCCAUCUCUAGGGCCGGCGCCCCCCUGGGGGUCCCUAUAUAAAGAGGGGGGAGGGAGGGCAGCCGCACCUGAAGUCUUGGCGCCUCCCUCUCCCCUUGCUACACCUCCUCCUCCCGUAGUCGCUUGGUGAAGCCCUGCCGGAACCCUGCUGCAUCCACCACCACGCCAUCGUGCUGCUGGAUCUUCAUCAACCUCUCCUUCCCCCUUGCUGGAUCAAAAAGGAGGAGACGUCAUCCGCUUCGUACGUGUGUUGAACGCGGAGGUGCUGUCCGUUUGGCACUUGGUCAUCGGUGAUUUGGAUCACGACGAGUACGACUCCCUCAACCCCGUUCUCUUGAACGCUUCCGCUCGCGAUCUACAAAGGUAUGUAGAUGCACUCCUAUCACUCGUUGCUAGAUGAACUCCUAGAUGGAUCUUGGUGAAAUCGUAGAUUUUUUUUAUUUUCUGCAACGUUCCCCAACAAUGACCAUGUGUAGACCUAGCUAUAAAUUAUGCAGCCCUUAGUUACAAACCUGAGUGUCCUGGCUUGCAGUGCCCUCAACUGCAUGUAGCCAUGAUACAACUGAUUCGGUUACGAGCAUUGGAAUGCCCUCACAGAAGCAAAAAGUAAAAUCUGAGAGUUAAGAAAAAACCCUAAUGAUACUUCCUUAGAAUCACAUGACAAUCAUGGUUAGCCACAUAAACCUGAUAUCAACAAUAGAUGACGGUUCCAUAGAGCAUCUACAUCCCCUGGAGAUAAACCUCUAUAUAUCAUGUAGGAAAAAAAUGCUAGCUCUAAAUCACACUUUUUAGUCUUUCCCGACUCCAUUGAUAUCAUGUGAACCAACCUGUAGUUGGAUGGUUAGGAGACCAAUGGUAUCCACAGUCCACCAGAGUUGUGUUAAAAAACAAAGUCCAUUGAUAUCAUUACAAUAGUAAUAACCAAGUAACUAAAUUGAAGUAGUUAAGAAGAAAUUCAUAGAAUUUAUCCUCUUUGAGAGAAAGAAGGCUAGUUUAAGAUGAAAGGAAGCAAGGUAACUUCGCCUUGAUUAGUACUAGUAAACAUUGUUCAUGGCACGUUUUCCUGAUCUUGAUAUGCACUGCACAUAGCGUGAUCCUUUCCAUGCACUUGUUGAAACAAAAUUGCUGCUUUAGACAUCUUGUCUUUUACUCUUAUUUAUUUUAUCACAUACUUCAGAGCAACUGAAGUGUUGAUGAAUGUAAUGACUAAUAGAGUAGAUUCUUUGGGGCAUCCCCCACGACAUUGCUCCUACGAGCGACGGGGGGAAACCCUAACCGCCAUCCCCUCAACCCCCUCCUCCCCUCCUCUCGUCUCGCCGUCGCCGGAGCUCGCUGGCGGGCAAAGCUCGGUCAGCGGCGGCGGGGCAUCCUCUCCUCUUCGUGUGGGGCCGGGCGGCGCGUGACGCCUUCUUCGCGCAGGGGCGCGUCGCUAUGCGGUGCAUGGCGGUGUAGGCGGCCGAGCCUCGGCAUGGAGGGCUGCUUGGCAGCGGUGGUGGCGGCGGCUAGUGCGUGGCGGCGAUGGACCAGGCUAGAUAGGAUCUGGAGGGUUCUUGGCGGUGGGCGGCGCGUGGGUGGGCAACGACUUAGCAGGGUCUCUCUGGCCAUGGCCAGGACAGCGUGCAGGCCACUGUUGCAGGGGUUCCGAGGCUGCUGGUCAGAUCCGCCCAGAUCUGGCCCCUGGGCACCGACGGGCGGCUCGGAGUGGUGGCCGCAGUCUCCUGGUUGAGGCUUGGAUGUGGCCUGAAACGGCGUGGUGGCAGCCCAUGGCAGUGGGCUAGGUCAUUCCAUGAUGGCGGCUGGACAUCUUCGACGUCGGUCAUCGUGGACCGGCUCUUGUGAUGGCGGCCUUCUUCCUGCGUCGGCUCGUCCGUAGGUGGCCUGUGGAGGCCUUCGAUCCCGCUCCUUGUCGUCCGAUGCUACUUUUGUCGCAGGGCUGGCCCUCUCCCAGCUGCGCUCCGUCGCCCAUCUCACGCCUAGUGCUGCAGGACCGAGCUCGUCUUCCGCCUGGCAGCAGGACCAACCUCAUCUCACACUUGGCAGCAGGACCGACCUCGUCUCGCGUCCGGUGCUGCAGGAUAGGUCGAUGGAGGCUAGUUUUGGCCGGCCUGGUGGUCUCGGUGCCGAGGGCCGCCCAGGGGUGUGAAAGAUGGAACCUUUCUGCUUGUCUCUUUGGCUGGGUUAGUGGCGGGCCUCAGGUGAGGUGGUGUUAAGGUCUUGGAUGCCAGGGCGGCGGCCCUGGUGCUGGUAGCAUGAUGCUCUUGGGCAGAGCCCGUGGCUUGGUGCUGCCCGGUGGCCAUGGCCGUGUGGGCGGCAUGGCAGCUGGGGUGUGGAGUUCAGUGGCGGUGAGUAUUGACCGGGGUGAAAACCUAUUCUAUUUUUUGAUGGACCGGCAGCGGCGAAGCUUGUUCCCUUCUUGAAGGUAUCGCCGCGACUCUCAUAGCCCGUCGUGUUGCUCUAGGGGAAACUCUGAUCCUUGGGUAGGGCGGUGGCAGCAAUUUGGUAUUGUAACCUUCCUAAAGACCUCGCCUUGGAGCCUACGGUUCGUCGUAUGUGGCUUCAUCUCUUCACGUUGGUGUGUUCACGGUUGAGGAUCCCGGUUGCUCAUGUAGUGCUAGGGGUGGUGUUUCCGCGCUCAACGACUAUAUAUGUAUCCUGCCUUGGGUGUGUGCAUGUGUUGUGUUGGCAUGCGUUUGUACUGGGUUGUUGUUGAUCGUUGUUGUAUAUAUAAAGCGGGGCGAAAGCCUUUUUGGUACAUGACUAAUAGAACUAUGUAUAGACCUCCCCCUUUUUGCAUCCAUAAACACUUAUAUUUGAGUAAGGAUAGAGCAAUUAUGAUAUGGUGAGUACAACCUCCAAACUGCUGGUUCAGUUGUCCCACGGUCCAGCCGCAUAGAGAAAACAGAGGUACUUUCAGCAAUGGUGGCAAGAACCGCGGGUGCCCGCGGCGGAGUGGCUACAAGCAACAGAGUGGCGGCGACUAGCGGAGGUGCAAAUGGAGAAGGUGAGGGCGGGUGCUAGGGCGGAGAUGACCAAUAUGGAGAUCUAGUACCCAAGGUAUCGCGUGCGGUUGUUCAAUGCUGCAUAGGCAAGCGGAGGGAGUUUUUGGGCUCGCAUGCAAUCUAAGUCAAACUCAAGCUAUGACCAAGCCAAGUUCAAGGGCAGCCACAUAAGCUUAGACGGGCCUGGUGAGGCAGGUCCAUGAGCGGGCUCGGCUUGGAUUCUUUCCAACCCAACCAACAACCUCAAGCCAGACAACCAACAUUUAGCUUUCUAUUUUCACAUGGUGGAUUAGUGACAAUAGCUACAUUUUCCCCUAUGCCUCUCAAUCUGGUUACCAAAUCCAUGCACCUCAGAUGGGUAACAUAUCUUGAAUCCGUAUGCCAUAGGAGAGGAACAAAGGAGGAUGUAGAUCAUACCAUGGUGAUAGGGUGGUAAUUGUUACAUGCAUUGCAAGAGAUGAUGUAUCCUGUGAGAUAUAUAGAGAGAUGUAAUGGCCAUGUGGGCCGACCUAGAUAGUAUGUAUCAUGAAAGUACACACUUAAAUGUCCUGACUCAUACAGCUCUCAACCACUUGCAAACAAUGCUAUAAUUGUUCUGUUGACGAGCAUUGGGAUGCCCUCACCCCUCACCCCACCCACACAGGCACACGGGAAUGGGACGGGAUGAAACACAUAGUGAGGAUGCUUCCUUCUACAUUCAUAACCAGGAUUUGCAAUCCUGGAUAACUACGAGACUUCAACACAGAAUAUAAAUUGUUUAACCAGCUAGGUACACUUCCCCCUCAUGCUCAAUUUUGCGCCACACCUCAUCCGGCUCCACAUCCUAAAAUGCAUGCACUAGGGAUUACAAGGCCAGUUGUCCUACUACACAAAUAACCAACCCAAUGGUUCUAGUAACCACACAAUAUGCCUGGGAGAACCAACGAGCUUUUGUUGUCUAGGAACUAGGAUCAAGAGGCUAGUCGGUACGUGUCAGUGGUUCGGUGCCUACACAAAUAAGAAUAGGACAUUGCGUCGAGCCGCGAAAGCUAAUUUUCUUAGCAAAUCCAAGUGAUGUACCAGGCAACCAUGGUAGAAAUCUUGCACUGUGAAAAAAAAUUCAUCAACGAUUCCUUUAGGGAAGCCGUCUGAGAUAUUGACGUACACAUGGAAUACGUAUUCUUUGGCGGGCCAAUCUUGAGCACCACUGGCAUAAACGCAGAAAGGAAUGAGGUGGGCAAAAGAGUGCGCCCUGAGGGAAGGAGAGAUUCCAACUCCCACCAGCGGGACAUCCGUGGCGAGAAGGCUGGACAUGCUCCUUCUUGUUCGAGCCUAGGAAUUACUAGAAGAAACUUCUUUGUUGGCAAGUGACUUUGACAGGAUGUUUUACUCUUCUCUAUGUGGUCUGCUCAAGUGCCACCAUGACAGUGGGGGUGAUGUUGAUGCACUGCACCCCAUGCAUAGACAGGGAAAUACUGAAAUGGUUGCUCCUCUCAAGUAGAAAAUAAUACAAGGAAGACGAUGAUCUUUAGAGCUUUACAGUGAGUGAGUAUGGCACUAACUUUGUUUGAUGUUUACGGACCGACUGAUACCCAGUUGUUUUUCUUUCACAUGUGUUAGGAGUUCAGAUGUUUGAUGCGCUUGAUAUGUCACAUAAGAGUUGAUUAAACUGUUUGAAUGUGUAUAACCUUUUGAUGAGGAGGUCCAGCGACCGCCCCGGUGGCUCCCGCGACGCACCCUGCGCGCGUAUCGGGGGAUCCAGAUCUGCCGCUGGCGGGCAGCUCCCUCCCCCGCCCCCUCAUCCCCCUCGCCGCUGCCAGAGGGCGUCCGCCGGGCAAAGCCCGUGCGGCGCUGGCAGCGGUGGGGCCUCUCUCCUCCCUCCCCUACUCGGGAUACCGCUGACGCGGGUCAGCCGACCGUGGGGGAGUUGGAUCAGGCGAGCUCUCCGGUGGCGGGGACGCGCAGAUUCUGAAGUAGCUAUGCUGGGAGUCGGUGGUGCAGCUCUGCAGCGGUGGUGGUAGGGGACAGGUCCGACGAGGUCGAUCUAGUUCCCUCAGGGCUGCGGGUGUCGCUGGUGGCAGUGGCCACGAGAGAGGGGGCUGCUCCCAUAUCUGGGGGUGGCGCUGGCGCUGCGAUGCACUGGUCUUGGCCAUGCUGGGCGGCGCGCGAGGCGGUGGCGACCAUGGAUCUCGAUCUGAAGUUGGAGGCUUUCACCAGCAGCUUGUCCUCCUUGACCGGCCGAGAUGUGGGCGUCCUCCUAGCGUCCUGUUUGAUGGCGGGGCGCUGGGUGUGGGCACUAGGUCGGGGGAAACCCUUGACCGGCGAUGCCGGGCACGAUGUUGGCGACGCCGGUGGCGUCGUUGUCCCUCUGGUGGGCAACAUCGAGUCUUACUUGAUGCCCUCCACCUACUGGUCUCGGGCGAAAGCCUACAAUCUCUAGAUUGGGGCGGCGAUGGCGCGUCAGCGUCAUGUACUUCUUGAAGGCGCCUUCUUGGGGGAUCAGCGGUCUUGGAUUUGGCGUGGUGUUGGUUUGUUUCUUCAGUGGAGUUCAUGCUCGAUAGUUGCAGUGGGCUUCUGGGUCUUGGCCAGAGACAGUGGCGAUGUAUGGGUUUCAUUCAGAGGUGAGGUUGCCAGGGUGGUCGCUCUCUCCUUGACAUCUGGUUCACUGGUCCAAGGGUGCUCGGGGGUGAGCUGCUUUGCCUACUGAUGGGUCGACUUCCUUCGAUCCAGGACGAGAGGGUGGGGGUGCCCUCUUCAGCGGCAUAUUUGGAUGGUGAACCGAGUGGCCCUGGGAGGCGACGAAGCAUGGCUCUCCUCCAGCGACGAUUAGCUCCCUUGUCGCGGGCGUGUCCAUGUCAUGAUCUGUAACCGUCAUGGGCUCCAAAGUGCUUUUGGGUUCUUCGGAGCUCGUUAGCUGUUCCGUAGUGCUUUGUAUCCGUGUUGAUUGUAUUUUCCUUUUCCUGUUGUCCUGUUGGUUGUAAGGUGUGGUCAUUGCUUUAUAUAUAAAGUGGGGCGAAAGCCUUUUUCGGCAGAACCUUUUGAUUUGCAGUUGACUUUUUUCACAUUGCAAACUUCGGAGUGCUCAUUGCAAGACUAUGUUCUGUAACUGUGGUAAUUGUAGCCCACGUGUGAGGCCAUCAUCUUGAACUAUCUAAGUGUUUGAUUGUUUUCUUUCAUUUGUGUUGAGGGAAUGAGUUUAACUCAGAUGACACUGCUUGCUGGGUAACUGUUGUUCAUUUGUCAAAUUGAAUUAGAGAGACUGGCUAUGAUUACAGUUAAGCAAUUCUUAUUCUUAUCAUGAGUUCAUGAAUAAUUAAACUAUGGCUUCAUUAGCGCUAACACAUCGCUGCCAACAUGCCCACUGCUUUAGGAACUAGAUGCUUCUUACACUACCUAUUUGAACAUCUCAAAAAUAAUGGUUGUGUCAGGAGUUAAACAUAGUUUCAUGAAUCCAUAGGUUGUGGAUGUUGUAAGGAAGCAUCAUUGCACCCUCAGGCUGGUUGCAACAACAUUUAGCCAGGAAGCCGGGGCUCUUCUCUUUUCUGUAGGAAGUGACUUCUUGAUGGAAGCAAUAUCUUUCCCAAUACCUCACAAUCCGAUUACCAUUCAUCUCACAUGGGAAACUCAAUUCAUAUACCAUGGGAGAAGAAGAAAGGAGAAUGUAGAUCAUACUGUGGUGGACACCCUGUUUUUUUUAUAAAGUCGUGGCCAUGGUGUCUGUUGUAUGCAUUGCAAGAGAUGGUGUAUCAUGAGGGAUAUAUAUAGAGCUAGGGAAUAAUGGCCAUGUGUACAUCUAGCUAUAAGGUAUGCAGCCCGUAGGGUACAUACCUUAAUGUACUGGCUUGUAGAGAUCUCAACCCCCUUCAUCCAUGAAGCAAUUGAUUCCCUUACGAGCAUUGGGACACGCUCACAGAAUGAAAAAAAAACUGAGAGGUAAGAAAACCGAAGGUACGUCCUUAGAAUGCACGACACGCGUGGUUAGCUAUCUAAAAACUGAUGUCAAUAAAAGAUGACGGGUCCUUGGAGCAUCCACAACCCUUGGAGCCAAACCUCUAUAUAUCACUUAUGUAGGAAAAAAACCAACCUAUCUCUACAACACCCUUUUCAAUCUUCUUUAAUCCCAUUGAUAUCAUCACCAUAGUAAUAAAAUAGUAAUUGAGUUAAGUGGGCUUUUUAGAUAAGAAGAAAUUCAUAUAAAUCCUUGUUGAUAGAAAGAAAUAUAGUUUCACAUGAAAAGAAGUGCUCGUGGAUGUGGAUGUGACCACAAUGAAGUAUCCCCCCUUUGCAAUCAAUCUAUAAAAUCUGUUGGGCAUCUUUUCAUUGAGCUCCCAUUCUCCAUCUAAACAUGGUUUAAGCUCAGCCUAAUGUGCAUUGACUUAAGCUCCAUAAAGAUCAAUGCCCUCGGAACCAUCAAUGAUCGGUGGAGCAACAUCGUUGGUGAGAACCAAAAAAAUGCAACUGCGGUGCCAAAUUUUCCGGUCAUAUUUGGAACAAAUUAAACCACUGUAUUUUUCAUAACUCCAUCACCAACCAUGACUUUGUCGUCGGUUAGAUCAACUCUGUUCUGGAUGCCCCAAAUCUAGAGAUUUUAUCUCUCUCGUCGUUGUACAGUCAGCGCCUAACGGUGAGUGAACCCUCUUUUUUUUCUCUUGAACUCUUACAUAUAUCUUCCUAACCUAUAAUCUGAAGGUAGAGAUGCUGCCAAUUUAGCUUAAAAAAUCUUUAAAAAAUAGAUGAAAAGGAAGUCAUGUAACUUUAUCUGCUUUUUAAAUACCAGUAAACAUUAUUCUUGCCACCUUUUCCUGAUCCUGGCAUGCACUGCACAGAGUACCAUAUUUUCCAUAGACUAGUUGAAUCAAAAUUGCUUCCCUAAUCAUCUCGUCCUUUACUCUUCAUUAUUUUAUGAAAAAAUUCAGAGUGACAAAGGUAUUGAUAAAUGAAAGGACUAGUGCUAAACAUAAACCUUUCUUUUUUGCAUCCAUAAAAAUAUCCAUUUCAUUAAACAUAUAACACUUAUGGUGAGUGCAACUUCGAGACUGUAUCACAAAUCUUCAGAAUGCUUGGACAUAUGAAUGAUAUGAUCCCCCUGGAACCAUGAAAUGAAGCCUUAGAGAAAGUGUUUGGAAUAUGACGAAGACGAGCAAGCCUUUGUCGGCGAGUGAUAAGAGAAAUGUAGGAGCUUGCCAGGACAACUUGGUAAGCAAGCUACCUAUUAUGUAGGCGCCAACUCCCAGCUUUUUCUCUUCUUUCUUUUUGAUUUUUUAUUCUCGUUUUUUGUAAGCUGUGGUUGGCAAACCAUCUAGCUAGGAUAUGAAAGAGUGGUGGUGACCGGCGGAUUGGCAAUGGCUAAGGAGCAAGGAGCGGUGCUGACUGGCGGAGUAGCACUGUAGCAGCGGCCGGUGAAGGAAAAGAUGGAUGGCGUGGGGGCCGAUGAUAGCUCUAGCAUGCGGGGCCUCAAGUGUGGGGGUCAAGAUUGAAAGGAGGGCUCGUGUGCCGGUGCAUGAGAGAGAGAGAGAGAGAGAGAGAGAGAGACAAGCUGAGAACAUGAGGGAGUUGCUAGGCUCACGAGUAGAUCGUCUCAAUGUCGAGCUUUGGCCAAGCUGAUUCCAAGUCCAACUUUGAAAGCUUAGACGAGCCACCAUGAACCAGCUUGGCUCAGCUUGUUUCCAACCCAAGGAGUAGCCUGUAGCCAGAUAGUCAAUGUCGACCUUUGUUUUUCCACAUGAAGGGCUAAUGAUAGUAGCUACAUUUUCCCCAAUGCCUCUCAAUACGAUUACUACUCACCUCAUACGAAAUAUAUCUUGAACCCAGACGCUAUAGGGGAUGAAUAAAGAAGGAUUUUGCUUAUACCAUGGUGCCCAGUGGUGCCAAUUGUUGAUUCUUGAUUGCAUUGCAAGAGAUAAAAUUGUCAUGGUGGAGCAGGGAGGUUUUGUUGUCCAUGAAUAGACGCAAACGGUUGUCGACGCAAGUGAUAGCUAGAAGUUGGUGCAUCUUGUGCUGGGUUUGUGGUUGGAGGCUGACAGUUCUGGCUUCCUCCUCCGAUGUCGUCAUCGUGUGAGGGUGUCAGAUCUGAAGUUCGAUGGUGUGUCCGGGGACAUUUUGCCCCGGUCUGAUUCUUUCAACGACAAUGGUUUAGUUUCUGGCAAACUACUUUCAAGGUCCGUAAAGCUGCCGAUCAGUGAUGGAGCCGCAUCAAGUUUGGGUGAAGAGGUGAUCUUUCUUCUUUCCCUUUGGUGGCUGCUUCGGUGGUGUUGAAGGAGAGGGGCUGCGUGGAUAUUUUGUGUAGGAUUAUCCUAUCUUUUUAGUCCUGUAAAGUCGAUGUUUACGUGCCUUAUAAUUUGAUUUUUAUUCUACAAAUGAGACACGUAUUAUCAUGCAAAAAGGUACAAAACUAAAUGUGAUGACUUGUACAUUUCUUGACCACUGUACCCGCAACCAAUGAUGCAGGUUCGUUUACGAGCAUCACACACACCCACGCUCGCGCACACACACGCAAACGUGAUGCAACACAAUGUGAGGAUGCUUCCUUUGAAUUAUGUGACAAGCAGGAUAAAGGCAUCUCUAGCAGAUCCUUUAUAUCAUGCACCCAUAUAUCGCGUUUACAGUUCGUGGCUGUCUUCGGAUAUGGGCUGAAUACAGUUGCGGCUGAACAACAACCGAAUACGAACCUGCAAAAUUUGUAAUCACAUAUUCGCUCGAGAAAUUGUACUAGUUUAGUAGGACUGCUAACACUUGAUCAUCUUAAAAAGUCAUACAAAGUAGAAAUUUUACACCUAAUAUUUGGAGGAGCAGGCGCCACCAUAACCCUAGUUACAAAAUUGGGCUCAUCAGAGCCGGGGGGAUUGCAGCGGCGACACUGUAGCGGAGGAGGAGCUCAGUCCACAUCGUCGGAGACGAGGUCGACGUAUAGACCUCGUCCUGCUUUUUGGCUACGAGGCGCCACUCUUCCAUGUUAGCCGCAAACUCCUGCGCCCCCGCGAUCCCCUGCUCGAGGAAGAUUCUAUCGAUGUCGAUGUCGACGUCCCGUUGACGGUGCUGCUUUGCCUCCUCCGCGUAGAGCGCGCAUGAUGGCAGCCGCCAUGACAUCCGCCUCCGCCGGGGGGAGGUAAUCCUCUGGCCCGACGACGCUCUGCCGCUCCGGCUCCCUCUUUACCGCGUGGAGCGGCGGGAGCUCCUCUGGCUCUCUUUUCACCGGGGUGAGCGGCGUCCUCGAGCUCGAGGCACCGGCGGAGGAGCCGGAGGACAGCCCGCGGUGGAGGAGUGCCUGCCUACGGUUGUACUCCGUCUCGCGGCGGAGGAGCGAUGGCGGUGGCGAGAGCCCGUUGUUGGUGUACCCGGGCGCUCCUUUUCCUCACGGCGUCGGCGGUGACGCACCGCCUCCGCUCGGGGUCGUCGCCACUGCCGGUGCCGCGGCCCGCCGACCACGUUCCGCAUCACAUCAAGAGGGGAGAGGGGGAAUUGAAGUCGCCGGCGGAGAGAAAUCGAGAGGGAGGAUGGGGAAUUGCGGCGGCGCGGAUAGGGUUUCGACCCGUAUUUCAGCCGCAAACCCUUACAUAUAUUGCGUGCGAAGGGGGGGGGGCAAUUUGCGGGUCACUGUAAAAGAAAUUAUGGGUCGGACGAUUAUAUAGGCUCUGGUCUUGCCCAAAAAAGGGGCCAAACCUGUAUAGUCGUCGAAUUUUUACGGGCCAUCCCAUUUUAAGAGGUCUGCUAGAGAUGCUCUAAGCCAUCUUAAAACAUGUAUUAAAGCAGAAGAUGCUUACUUAGAUCCACUAUUGGCUUUUCAUUAAACCUGAAAUACAAUUUAUAGAAAUUAAAAAAAAGAUGUAAUGUUUAUGCACGAGACCAGAGCACACUUAUUGAGACUGAUAUUGAUUUAUUGUGAAGCCAUCAUUUUCCAUGAAUCCAGUCAUAGGCCUGGGCGUUCGGUAGAAACCGGAACUGUUCGUUUUUUUAAAUUCGGUUAGCAAAAGUCAAAACCGAAAUAGGCAUGGAAAUCAAUUAACCAAAAAUCCAGUUAACCAAUUUAUUUGGUUCGGUUUCCGGUUUUAACCCAAAUUUGGAUUAAGCAUACAAAACACAGUUUCAGUGCCAUAUGCACAGUUUCAGGAAAUUUAUCAUAUGAACACUUGAACAGAAAAUGAACACAAUAGACAAUCCAUCAUUCGCUGCUGAAGUACAUGUCCACGAACAUCAUAUGAACAUGCAUCCAUCCAAGUUACCAAUACAACAGUGCAAUAACUAAACAAGAAUUUGAGGCGGAGGAUGGGACGACUGGAUGGACGGACAAGCGAGCGAGCUACAAUCGGCGAAGCAAUAGGGGGCGCUGCGCUCCUCCUCUGGUCCUUUCCUCUGCGUGCAGCGACUGCGUGAUGGUCGGCGGCAGGUGAGAAGGUGAGGGAGGAGAUGGGGGAGAUCCCAGGCAUUGGCAGUGGGCAUACAAGACGGCCCGUCGGCUUUUAGGGAGUCGAGGUCGGGGAUGUGGGAGAAGAUGUGGUGGUGGCUCACCGAGUGGCGGCCGGCGGCGGCAGCGGUUGAAUCGGGGCGGGGGGUUGAGGAUGGAGAACGAAUGCUAGGCUGUUGUGUCCCUUUGUCUAGUAUACGUGGUACGGUUGUGACCUAGGUCUAGUACGUGGCUACCGUCGGCGUGCCACUUCCAGGAGUUCCUAGUUGGGCCGGCCGGCCGAGAGGGCUGCAUGAUUUCGGCUUCUUUGGUUAACCGGUAGAAAUACCGAAACCGACCGAAUUGAGUUCGGUUAGUAACACAGGUAACCGAAUUUUCUACGCUCGUUAAAAAAAACGACGGUGUUGGUUUCGGUUCAGGUUUUGGUUGGUCGGUUUUUAUGCCCAAGCCUACCGGUCAAGAUCAAUGCUCGGAGCCUUUCAAAGCUUGAUAUAUAAACGAUGUACCCAAAGCGGCAACAAAAGCUCGAGCACCAUCCUUGUUGGAUUUCACCCAGGAGGGAUCACAUGAAAAACCACACGAACAUACAUAUAUGACCGAAACAAGUUAGCCAAAGUCAUGUGCCAUGCGCCUUUCUUUUUCAUUUCUUAAAUUCAUAACUAAAUUUUGGGACCCAUAUGUAGCACAUAUAUCUGAACCUUAACUCCACCUAAUACUAGCCAAUCAGGAACUGGUGGUAAUACACUAAUACUAGUCAGUCACGUCUGAGCCUACAGGAACAUGUAAUUCGUAAUCCAACUUUCUUGCAGUUGUUGGUCUGCGUUGUGCUAUGAAUCAUAGCCUAUGAUUAUAAUCUGCUGUUAAAAAAUAAGCAUCAAAAGUAGAUGCACGCAUGCAGAUUAUAAUCCUCCUCCACAAGAAAAGAUCCCAGCACUAUUGGAAUUUUUACGUACGCCGGGUGUAAUGCUCUUCGCCGAGUGCUAAAACACGGACAGUCGGCAAAGCAAGCUUUACCGAGUGUCACUCUCGGCAAACCCACCUUCACGGCAAACUGCAAUCUUUGCCGUCACUGCCUCACGGCGAAGAGGCACCGUAUGGCAAACCCUGUAGACGCCGAGAGCCGCUCAUGGCAAAGAGUAGCCACGUGGCAUGCCCGUCCGCAACAGACGGCUCCGUCAGUUACUGCGUACUUUGCCGAGUGUCGCUCUCGGCAAAGCACAUACAACAUCCUAUAUUUUUUUUUGUGUGUUCUUUCUAACUGACAUGUGGUCCCACUGGUGACAUUUUAUCAGUAAAAACAAUGACGAUAUCUUUGCCCAGAGGUGCUCUCGGUAAUCCUUCAUGGGAGCUGACAGUUUACAUAGCUUUGCCGAGAGCUAGGCUCGGCAAUGCUCUCCUUUUUUGAGAGCUUCUGUCGAAAAAGUUGUGGCACAACAGUAGUGUCCCAGACGACCAUGUUUCCGAGAGUUGCUCUCGGUAGUCUACCUUUUUCCGAGUGUUGCUCUCGGAAAUCUUUCCCAUCCAUUCUGCUGUCAAGCUAUUUCUUUUCUGAUCCCUGCAGAUAAAAACCACUACAGUGCAAUUUGAUCUAGUCCACACAUAUAUAGGCAUAAUUUGAUCAUAUAUAGGCAUAAUUUGAUCUAGUCCACCUAUAUAUGCAUAAUUAGGGAUAGUCCACAUAUUGUCACACACAAGUCGAAUGUAUUAUCCUAGUAGACGUCACACACAAGUCGCAAAUUCAUACAUAUUGUCACUGCUUGCAAAACACGUGCACGUCACAAUAGAAGUACACUUGUUCAUAUAUAGAUCAUCUUGAUGAGGAGAGGCCAUCGGGUUAACAUUCCGGAGGAGGAGGAGGGGCAUCACUUGCACUGCUUAGAGAUUGCAUAAGAAUCUAUAAGAGUAGACUCACGUGAGGGUGGUUCGUCCCUAUGUAAUGAAUCUUCUACUCUAGUUUAGAUAAUGUUCUACCUGUAGUUGAUCCUCAAGCAUCUUCAACCUAUUGUUAGUGUCUGCCCGUUCCUUUUCUCUGGACUCCUCCUCAGCCUUCCGCCUUUGCUCCUCUUCAACAGCCCGCUGCGCCAUUAAAUCCUGUAACAUGGCAUUAGGCUCAUAUAGGUUGAAACGGUGCUAUUUCAAGGCAUGUACAUAAAUAAAAGGUUAGGAUGCUAACCUUGAGACGCGCUAUCUCACAUGAUGCGGCAGUUGGGCGACUCCGUAUGGACGGAGUGAGCUGGUGCUCGACGCACGUAUCUCGUGCAGCUUGCGGUGCCCAGAGGUGGUGGUCGCCCCGUUGCAAAGGAGGUGGCGACCAUGGCCCUUCCCCUGGCCAGCAAUGAUGAGAAGCUCAGGGUCAAGGGGCUUGGACGUAGGUUCGGCUUCCUUCCCGUGCACCUCCUAGAAGACCUCUUUGAAGGUCCCCCACUUCUCCUCCGCCGACUUGCUGCAGAACUCGGCGCCAUCCUUCCCCUUGUGGCCUUCUUUCCAGGCUUCCAGGAUGUGGACCGGUCGACCAACCUUCGCCUCCUGCAAAAUUAACCAUCAAGUUGAAUGAACCAAGAUGCACCGUGCGAAAAAGUUAACAUCUUAAUCCACAUACCAUGUGUUGCUUGAGAGCGGUUAGGUUCCGGCUCCCCUAGACAUGGGCCGGGCCUGGCAUUUUGGCUCGUUCGUUUCCCUUCUCCACAUGCUGCGCCUGCCAUGCUGGGUCACACCACAUGUCAACCAGGGCCUCCCAACAAUCGUCCUUCAUCCAGGGUUCCUUCACCUAGUCAGAAAAAAUCGAAUAAUUGAGGAACAAGAGGGAUGAAUCAAAGUACUAGCAACCGAUGUAGUCACUUACCACUAACAGGUAUUCUUCUCGCGACAAGUUGGUCUGGCAAGCAGUCUUCCUUGUCAUCUUCUCGCCCUUCUCAUUGAGCGGCCGACACUGCAUCACGGCUUUGUACCACAGCGUGUGCUUGGUGUCAGAGAGUAUCUUUCGGUCAGAUUUCACGAUGCCUUUGAUUGCCUUCUGCUGCUCACCAUCCACGCAAGCAAAUGUUUGCUACAAGAAAGCAUAUGGCAUCUUCUCACCAUCCACGCAAGCAAGGAUUUGGAUAUGAAAAAAUGCAGUGGUCGGAGCUAAGAUACUUACAAAAAAGCAUUGAUGACCCGAGUGGCCAUGGUGACAUCGUGCUCAUCCUUGUUGUGUAGGUAAUGCUCCCAGGUUAAACCUGGCGACGGCGGAUCGUCAUCACCCGGCUUGGACAAUCCAGGGAAGUGCUUCCUCAAGAGGGAGCUGAUGAUGUGGUUCGGCGGGCGUGCCCCCUUAGGUUGUGUCAGGAUAAAUUCCCACCGACUGCAUGAUAUAAAAGACAAGCAUAUGUGAGUGUCAAAGCUAUGACAUCCAAAAUAUGAUGCAAAUGAAAUGCUUGCUUACCCCUCUCCUGUCGGGCAAAUGACAGGAUGGUUGCUGGCAGCAGUUGGUUCCGGGACCUUCCCCGGACCACGCCCGGAUUUCUUCCUCUUGGAAAUGUUGCUCGAUGUAGACCCCGAGCCGUCCGAGGCCUCCAUGUCGCCCGACUCAGUGGCGAGCGGAUCUAAGUCCACUCCGACAUCGCCAUCCGAUGAUGACGAUGCCUCGGUUGUGGCAUGAUGGGAGGCGAACGACUCGGCCCUACCAAUCGGGACUCUCCGGUACUUAUUACGAGUGCUCUCAUCAGAAUCUGAAAAACAAAAUAUAUAUGGUUACUCUCAGUUCCAAAGCAAAAUCUUCCUAAUCUAAGUGUCAUAUCAUAUAUGGCAAAAAAUAACACAAAUAGCUCAAUCAAGUCUCAGAUAUAUAGUUCCAUUUACUAAUGACAUAACACUGACAAGGAUUUUUUUUUGAAACGAAAGGGGUUGCCCCCCUGCCCCAAAUUUUUAUUAAAAAAGCAAAGGCAACCUAAGAUCAGAGUUCACCACUGACAAGGAAAUAAGCACAACUAUAUAGUUUCAUUGAUCUACUCUAGUAUUUAUCUAAAAAAAACACAAGCACUAGUAUUGAUCCUUCGAGCACUCAUUCAGUUUAACUAAAACUAAACCAGUCAAGCAUAGGAGUCAAAACCAAAGCAUUCUACUCUAGGCAUUAUUCCAAACUUCUAAACUUCCAUACUACUCUAGGAUAUCACUUACUUCGAGGCAUGGACCAUCAAACGUACCAAAUACGACAAGGGCAAGGACCCUCUCCACCCGGAGAUGGACUGGAUCAUCUCUAAAGCCCGGUCAGAUGGAGAGAACUACACCAAAAAAUUAAAGGAGACGUACGGGCCUGACGCUGAUCCUCACGUGCUACCGUUUGACCCUCUUGUGGCCAUUGCCACGGCAGGAGGUAGACCGAAUGGCCGGAUGGCGGUUCACCUCGAUUCUGUCAUAACCUCCUCCCUUCCGACAGUCAACACGCUCCGUGCUAUGAGUACUGGCUCUACUCCUACCGUAGAGCGUCACGUACCACAUUCCGUGAGCAUUAUUGAGGAUAUUCAGGUCAGUGCUUCUUCAUUGAUCCUUCAUGGUCCUUCUUCAUUGAUCCUUCUUCAUUAUUGAGGAUAUUUGCAUUUCAACAUGAAUGACAUUUGCAUUGCCAUAUUGUAGACUCGACUGAUUGACACCGAGAAAGAACGAGAUGAAAACCGGGCCAAGUUGAAGGCACAAGAUGAUCUAGUGAAGUCUUUACAACAUAUGGUGGCCAAUCUUUAUUCCAUGCAAGGCCAACCAGUGCCAGAGAUGCCACCGAUGCCAGAGUGGAACAUUGUGAGUUUUGUUCCAACUAUUACUAUCACCAUUUUCGGCAUUACCAUAUGCAUUCAUCUCACUAUUGGGUCAAUCCAUCACAACUCAACCCAUCACAAGGGUCGAACAAUGUUCCGGUAGUUCCACCUCAAGUUGGUGGAGUUGGGGCAGCAAAGGGAAUGAUGCCUUCUAAUGUUGAUGUUAUCACUCCGGUUCAUGGAGUUGGGGCAACAAACGGAAUGAUGCCUUCUAAUGUCGAUGUUAUCACUCCGAUCUCCAAAAUCGCGUGAACUUCAUGUUAUGUUUGAAACUGUUCCUUGUAUGUUGAGAACUCUUGCAUCUUGAGACUUGUAAACUUGUGGUCUAUUGCUUUGAUGCACUAUUGCUUUUAUGUGGAAUGUUUUUCAGAAUCAAUCAUUGCUUCUUUUGUUCAAUGAUGCCUACAUGGGACAUGUUCUAUGUGUGAUGAACUAUAUGCUGCUGCUGUAUAUGUUUCGCUGCAGGAAAGAAACAGAAACAGGGAAAAAAGGCUCCUGGGCACACUAUUGCCGAGGGCGGCUCUCGGCAAUGACUGUGAAAUUGGACCAGAACGCACCCUUUACCGAUAGGCCUCUCGGUAAAGGAUAAUAACCUGUAGUCCUCCUGGCACCUUUACCGAGAGGCCUCUCGGUAAAGGAUAAUAACCUGUAGCCCUCCUGGCAACUUUACCGAGAGGACUCUCGGUAAAGGAAAAAGAAUUGCCGACGGUGGCUCUCGGCAAACUAUUUUCACGGCUUUUAGGAGAAGUGAUGUGGCCCUUCCCUAUUGGCUGAGUUUGCCGGGAGUCACACUCGGCAAAUAUAGAGUUUGCCGAGAACAUCCCUCGGCAAAGUUGUCAUUCUUUGCCGAGAGUGGCACUCGGCAAAGAUGGCCCUCGGCCUGUUUGCCUGGUCCCACCUGUUAGGAGCUGACAUGUGUCAGCCACCUACUGGCUAUCUUUGCCGAGCGUGGCGCUCGGCAAAGAUGGCCCUCGACCUGUUUGCCUGGCCCCACGUGUCAGGAGCUGACAUUGUCGAGAGGGGCACUCGGCAAAGAUGGCCCUCGGCCUGUUCACCUGGUCCCACGUGUCAGGAGCUGGCACGUGUCAGCCACCUACUAGCUGGCUUUGCCGAGAGGCGCACUCGGCAAAGAUGGCCCUUGGCCUGUUCGCCUGGUCCCACAUGUCAGGAGCUGACACGUGUCAGCCACCUACUGGUUGUCUUUGCCAAGAGGUGCACUCGGCAAAGAUGGCCCUCGGCCUGUUCGCCUGGUCCCAUGUGUCAGGAGCUGACACAUGUCAGCCACCUACUGGCUGUCUAUGCCGAGAGUGGCACUCGACAAAGAUGGCCCUCGGCCUGCUCCCCCUGGUCCCACGUGUUAGGAACCGCCGUCACCGUCUGCUAUCCGUUAGCUACUUUAUUUUGCCGAGUGGUACUAUUUGACUCUCGGCAAAGUCUUUGCCGAGUGCCCGCGUUCUGACUCUCGGCAAACUCCUGUUUGCAGAAGAGGUGUACGCCGGGUGGCUUUUGCCGAGGGUGACACUCGGCAAAGGCUUUGCCGACGGUUUUUGGCCCUUUGCCGAGUGUCUGUGGCACUCGGCGUAGCACAGAAUUCCAGUAGUGCGGGAUUCCCUCUUCCUCCCAUCCGUGCCGCCGCCGGUCUGUCCAUCUCCGAUGGUCUUUGGGCCAUGGAGGUGUGGAGGACCUCGGGCCCCCGCCGGCAGGGGGGGGGGGGGCGUUCUUGUUCUUACUAGUUUCGAACAAAUUGCAAAAACCAUCAUAAUUGGGGACCCUAAUUCAUAAAUCUUGUUUACUCAUGGAUUUGUGAAUUAGGGUUCAUGAAGGAGAGGAGACAUUGGGGAAAAUUCUGGGGUCUUCUACCAAUCCCCUUCUCACUUCUCUUCAUUUAUAUUUUUGUUCUUUUACGAUGUAGUCUUCAUGUCCUUACAUAAUUACAACUCACAUCAACACUCCCCCUCAAGAUGGGGUGAAUAUAUCAUACAGACCCAUCUUGCUACAGAAAAUAGAGAAUGAUUUCUCGGGUAGACCUUUUGUAAGUAUAUCCGCUACUUGACUAGAUGAACUUACAUAAGGCAUACACAUUAUUCCUCUAUCGAAUUUCUCUUUGAUGAAGUGAUGAUCAAUUUCCACAUGUUUGGUUCUAUCAUGUUGCACUGGGUUAUUUGCAAUAUCUAUGGUGGCCUUGUUAUCACAUUAUAGCAUCAGUGGUGAUUCCUUGAACAACCCUAGUUCUGUCAGUAAUAUCUUUAACCAUAAUACCUCACAUACACCAUGUGCCAUAGAUCAGAACUCAGCUUCUGCUGUGGAACUAGCCACAAUAGUUUGCUUCUUGUUGCGCCAUGAAACUAAAUUCCCACCAACGAAGGUACAGUACCCAGAUGUUGAUCGUCGAUAUCCAGUGAGCCCGCCCAAUUCGCAUCAGUAUAACACUCAACCUGGAAAAUUCCCUGAUGACUGUACAGUAAACCCUUUCUAGGACACCCCUUCAAAUAGCGUAGGAUUCGAGUCACGACAUCCAUAUGAUAUGAUCUUGGGUCAUGCAUGAAUUGGCUCACUACACUAACAACAAAUGAAAUAUCUAGUCGAGUAUGAGACAGGUAAAUGAGCUUACCGACUAAUCUUCGAUAGCAUUCACGGUCCACGGAUUUUCCUGAAUCACUCAUCAGGCGAUGGUUUUGCUCAAUUGGGCUUGCAGCUGGACGACACCCAAGCAUACCUGCCUCUUGUAGUAGGUCUAGGACAUAUUUUCUUUGGGAAAGGAAAAUACCUUUUGUUCCUCUAGAUACUUCUAUCGCAAGAAAAUAUCUCAAGUGUCCCAAAUCCUUGACUUCAAACUCUUGCGCAAGAUGAUGUUUUAAGUGAAAAAUUUCCUCUUGGUCAUCACCUGUGAUAAAAAUGUCAUGCGCAUAUACAAUGAGGAGGACAACCUUGCUCAUUCUAUGUUUGUAAAACAUGGUGUGAUCUGCAUUGCUCUGAGUGUACCCAAUUCUCAACAUAGCAUGCCGAAACCUGUCAAACCAGGCCCUCGGCGAUUGUUUGAGCCCGUACAAGGAGCGACUUAAGCGAAGUACCUUUCUAGUAACAUAGCCGGACUCGAAACCUGGUGGGACCUCCAUACACACUUCUUCUUGAAGGUUGCCAUGAGGAAAUGCAUUUUUUACAUCCAUCUGGUGAAUGUUCCAGUUCAAGUUUGCUGCACAUGAUAUGAGUGUUCUACCAGAAUUCAUUUUUCCUAUAGGUGCAAAUGUUUCCUCAUAAUCAAUUCCAUAUGUUUGGGUAUAUCCCUUUGCCACAAGGCAAGCUUUAUAUCUAUCCACUUUACACUCUAGGGUAUGCUUAAUGUUGAAAACCCACUUGCAACCUACAGGUUGUUUACCUGGUGGUACAUCCACAAGCUGCCAGGUUUUAUUCUUUUCCAAAGCUCACAUCUCUUCAUGCAUAGCUUCCCUCCACUUUGGAUCCUCUUUGGCUAUGUCCCAACUAUUAGGUAUGAAUGUGGAAUCUAGAGGUGUAAUGAAGCUCUGGAAGGAUGGGCUACAAUGUUUGUAGGAGAUGAAAUUGGCUAUGUUGUGUUUAUAACCAACGUCGUAGUCUUUUAGGUGUGGGGAAGAUUUAAGGUUCUAGUUGGUUUUCUCAAGGCAAUGGGUAAAUUACCUCGUGGAACAGAUGUCGACAAUUGGUUAUCACUCUCACCCAUGGUGCUAGUAGGAGCAAUAGGACUAGGAGAGUGGUCAUCAGUACCUGGGCCAUCAUGUGCAGAGUGAUCAACAUUCUGUGAAGGUGAUAAUGAAUCUCCUAUUGUAUCUUUGCAUGUCUCCAUGACCAGAACUGUUACUCUCCUCAUGGUUAGGAAUAUUAUUAUCAAGAGCAGAAGCAUCUGGAGAGGGACAAGUAUUGAUCCAAUAAGGGUGCCUCCACCACUGCUCUCCCCCUCUUGUCCUACUUCAGGUGGGGAAAGAACAAUGUCAGCGUCAUUGGCUGAUCCAAGAUAAUAAGGUUCAUGUUCACGAAAGGUCACAACCAUACUCAUAAAGAACCGACGUUUAGAGGGACACCAACACCUAUAGCCCUUUUGAGAAGGAGAAUAGCCCAUAAAGACACAUUUGAUGGCACGAGGAUCUAAUUUCCCAACAGAAUUUCAAUAAUCAUGCACAAAAGAAACACAACCAAAUACCUUUGGAGGGACCACAAAAUCAUUUUUGUAUUCAAAAGACACUCAGCUGGAGACUUAAACUCACGUGUGCGUAGAGGUAUACGAUUUAUUAAAUAUGUUGCUGUUUCUAUUGUCUCCCCCUAAAGAAACUUAGGGACAUUCAUGGUGAACAUGAGUGAAUGAGCAACUUUAAGUAAAUGCCUAUUCUUACAUUCUGCAACACCAUUCUGUUCUGGUGUAUUAACGCAUGUAGUUUGAUGUUCAAUGCCAUGUGAUGGAAGGAACUGUCCAAACUCCAUGUUAACAUAUUCAGUACCAUUGUCAUAACGUAAGGUUUUUUAUAGUUGUUCCAAACUGGUUUUGAAUGAGAGUACACAAAUCUUCGAAAAUAGGGAACACAUCACUUUUAUGCUUCAAAAGGUAAAGCCAAGUGUAACGACUAAAUCCAUCAAUGAAAGUCACCCAUGUCCAGAAACAGAAUAAACCUCACAGGGCCCCCAAACAUCAGAAUGUAUUACUUCAAAUGGUUUAUGACAUCGCAAACCCCUGCUAGGAUAGAUGCCCCUUGUAUGUUUUGCUAAUUCACAUGCGUCGCAUACAAGGGAUUCUCUAGGACACACGUUAAAGAGAGAGGGAUAAAUACGUGACAUAGCAACAAAAGAGAGGUGUCCCAAUCUUCGGUGAUGAAGUAACAAUUCUUGAGUAGGACUGUAGGAGACAUGCAAGUUGCAAGAGAAAUUUCAUCUCCCCCUUCAUCAAGAUAGUAGAGUCCCUCAUGCAUGGUCCCAGUCCUGAGAACUCUCCUUGUCCCAAGCUCCAGAAAAGCACAACAUGUAGGAUCAAACCAACAUCUACAAUUGAGAGCUCUAGUGAUGGAGCUAACUGAUAAUUGGCUGAUAGGAAAUUUAGGAACAUGCAGAACUGGUGAUAAGGACAAUGUCUUGGUACACUGGACGGUUCCACGUUCUGUAAUAGGUGCCAUGGAACCAUGAGCAACACGAACUUUGUCCUUACCAGAGGUAGGUGUGUAGGAAGUAAACAAGUUUGAGGCUCUUGUUAUGUGGUUAAUUAGUAGCUCUAGUAUCAAUUAUCCAUGAUUUUGAAUGGGCUUAGCGGGAUUCCAUAUAUACCUUGGGUGAUGGCAUUAAAGCUAGAAUCAACUUUGGAGAAACCUUGGGACGAAGAUGAGCCUUCAAAGAGUUUGAGCUUGGAUUUGAAAUCCUCAAGAGCUUUCAUAUCUACCGCAGGUAGUUCCUUUGCAGAUGCAUUGUAAUUAGCUUGUCUUUUGUUUGAACCCCGAGCUCCCCCCUAGCUGACAUCUCCCUUUAUCCCACCAAGGUGGAUAACCAUGCAACUCAAAACAAUCACCCUUGGUGUGUCCUUUUCUGUUGCAAUGGUCACAAAGCAACUUGCUUUUAUCGACCUUACCAAAGGAAUUUGUAGCACGGCGUGGUUGUAUGGAUAAUGCAGCAUGAGCAUCUGCACGCUCCUGACCCUCCUCCUUCGGUUGUGCCAAACGAGUCUCCUCCUCAAUCAUGCUAGAAAUAAUAUCAUCAAGACUAGGCCACUCAGGCAUUGCAAAUAUGAAUUGACGACAAAGGUUUAUUUCCUGGUCUAGGCCAUCUAGAAAGAGCUUGCUCACAAACGACUCAAAUCACACAUGAUGAAUUGCCAAGUCAUCCUUGUGAACAGGUUCAAAAGGGUGAUGAUAAUGCAAGUCUCUGUAUAAUUUUUUUACUUCACCUGCAUACUCUGUUACAGAUCUUGAGCGCUGCUUCAAAUUAGUUAACUCAUGCAUGAUACGGGUGGCUUGCAUUUUAUUUGUUUUCCCUGCAAAUUGUUUCUUCAAAGAUGACCAGACCUCACAAACAGUGUCCAUGCCUUCCACUUGUUCUCUAAUUGUUGGUUCCAUACUUCCCAACAGCCAUACUAGUACUUUAUCAUUGAUUUGUUUCCUGCCCGCACUGCCUUUCUCCAAACUAUCUUCAUUGCCAACAAGUAAAUAAUCAUACUCAUUGGCACUCAAAAUCAAUUUGGCAUGGCGUGCCCAACUGAUGUAGUCACCAGGUCCUGAUAGUCUGACUGGAUUUUGCUCAAGUGUAUGCUUAACUGGCUCAGCAGCACCCUUUGAUUGCUGCUGGUGCUCAAGCAGUUUGCUAAAUAUUUCAUACAUCUUAUGAACACUAGAAUCCCCUGUUUUUUUUCUGUACUUGGAUCUCCCAUGGUUCAAUGAGCAAGAAUAUAUUCCAACACUAGUACUUGGUUCUUCUUCUCAAACACGUGCAGCACAAAGAGGAACCAACUAGUACAGCUCAACAAUGUGCCAAAGAGUACGGCAAUUACUUCAGAUUGCAACACUAGCAAAUAGUAUUAUUUAAUCCGGCCAGCUGACCUCCAAAGCAGCUCCAGGCAACACCGAUACUGCUUCUAAAGCAAUAAAAAAACACAGAUGCUCAAGGAGUCCGAGAGUCAAGUUGGGGACGAACUACACCUGCUCACGAUGCCGGAUGGCAGGAGAGAAAAAAUUAGCUUGUAGCGGGCGAGGGAGUCCAGACGCCCAGGCUCUAUAACUCAACUUGUAGCUGCAGGAGCCUCCCCGAUUGUACUGUACUUGAUUCAGACAGAAUCAAGGUCGCUUCCCAACUCCUACAGCAAAGCCAGCAGCAGAAGCACCUCCAACAAUAGGAGCGACACAGUACCGCACCGACGGCCAAACUCAAUAGGAAUCAUAGGAGAACCACACAGGAUUCGUCCUGCCCUGAUACCAUCUUUUUGUGAACUAGGGUUCAUGAAGGAGAGGAGACAUUGGGAAAAAUUCUGGGGUCUUCUACCAAUCCCCUUCUCACCUCUCUUCAUUUAUAUUUUUGUUCUUUUACGAUGUAGUCCUCAUGUCCUUACAUAAUUACAACUCACAUCAACAAUAAAACCACCAUUAUUCAAUUUUUUUUCAAAAACCCACCGCCAUUGUGGUGACAUUUUUCAAAAAACACUCCGCGAUGUCCCUCAGUAGGAAUAAAGUCUCCCACGUUCUACGAUGGUGCGUCUAGUGUCAUCGUAGGGCAUGUGGAGGUGUAUCUCCUUCGGAUCUCACGGCAUUCAGUUGGUGCUGGUUUUUCUGUGGACUGUUUGGGGCCAGUGUUCGUUCGUCUUCGCUUGGGUGUUUAUAGGUUUGAUCCUUCCAAUCUAUGAUUUUUUUCAUCGGCCUUAACACGACGAUUUUCAACUGUCUACUGCAACAAGCUUUGCCCAGCUUCAGCGUGGGAGGGGCAAUAAUGGCGGUGCCUUCAGCUCACUCUAGUGUUUUUAGUCGCCGCUAGGUGGUCAAUGGACAUGGUUGUAAUUUAUAUCACCUCUAGUGUUCUUUGUACUGCCAUGAUCGAAAAUGAAUAUAUUGAAAGUUUCUCCUGCAAAAAAAAAGUAGGCAAAAACAUGUCGAAACAGAAAAGCGGAUGGAACCAACAAGACUAUGAUAAUCCACCAUAAUGCCAAACAAAGCCUAGAACGCACGAAAACCUGCCGAACAAACAUACUUGGCAUGGUUCUCUCCUCUUGAGAAAUCGUACACACAAAAGUCUUGCCACGCAGAUGACUAUGAGACUGCCACACGGACUCCAAGCAGUUCACACAACCGGCACACAUCCGCAAGCUUUGCGUCUCACAUCCAAUUUCGUGCAGCAACUCAUCCAGCUCCAUCUCCGGAGAGGCCUGCGCCGGGGAUUACAAGGCCACUUCUUCCUACUAUCCAGAUCACGCUGGUCCGGUCCCUGACCGAGCCGGCGGCCGUCCGGACCGCACUGAGCAGCGCGCUGGUCCCUUUUCCAUGCACCGGGCCGGUGAGGCAAAAGCUCGGUAACCGAACGAUGGCAUGCGUGCGUUAUCGUUCAUGGUGUAUGCGUGCAGCAUGUAGAAGCUGGAGUACGUGUUGCUGCUGCGUCUCGACGGCAUCUCUUGUUCGACUCCGAGAUCACUGGCCAUGAACGAGAUCAACCAUCUCCGCCGAAUACAGAGCUAACAGAAAACGGGAAAUCAGGCCACGGCGGAGACGCGAACGCUGCCAUCCCAACGUUCGUCGACCGCUACCCUACAUCGUCGCCAUGAUCGUUUUAGUAUCGUGCCAUCCCACGAUCACUAAGACCAAGUCGCGGCUUAGCUUGUUUCACUAAUUGAGGAAAAUCCUAACUGACGAAUCUGCACUUUAACAGCUACUGCUGACGAAACUGAAUUUUUCUGAAACUUCGACAACAACUGGUGGUAACUGACAACAUGGUGAUCGGAGGGACGGCACGGGGCGUGCGUCCGUGUGCGCUAAGGUCGCCGUCGCGUCCGUGCGCUUGUUUCUGCCGUCAUCCUCGGUGUCCGCGGUGGUCGCGAGCGGGAGCGCGAGCAGAUUGUGUCAACUUUGAAAGCUUAGACGAGCCUACCAUGCAGACCCAUCAACCGGCUCAGCUCGACUUGUUUCCAACCCGAGGAGCAGCCUGUAGCUAGAUAGUGAGCGAUGACCUUUGUUUUUCCACAGGAAUGAUGAAAGGCGGUAACUACAUUUUUCCCAAUGCCUCUCAAUACAAUUACCGGACAUCUCACAUGGGAAAUAGUUCUUGAAACCAGACGCUACGGGGAAGAACAAAAUAGGGAUAUAGAUUAUACCAUGGUGGCCAGGGUGCCAAUUGUUGAUUGCAUUGCAAGAGAUGUUGUAUCUUGAUACGGGCAAGUAAUUGCCAUGUGAAGCCUAGCUGAAUGAUAUAGCCUGCAGGUUACACAAUUGAAUGUCAUGGCUUGUACAUUUCUCAACCACCGUACCAGGGAUAAAGAGAAACACAAACGUGAUGCACCACAAUGUGAGGACGCUUCGUUUGAAAUGUGCGACAAGCAGGGUGAGCCAUCCCAAAACUUGUACUCCAUCCGUUCGACAAGAUAAGAGUAUUUUUUAUACUAGUGUAGUGUUAAAAGCGCUUUUAUAUGGUGGGACGCAGAGAGUAUUAGAAUCGAGGAUGCUUACUUAGAUCCACUAUUGGCUCUUCCAUUAAACGUGAAAUAAAAUUUAUAGAAAUUGAAGAAAUGAGCACAAGACCAGAGCACACUUAUUGAGACUGAUAUCGACUUAUUACGAAGCCAUCGUUUCGCGUGAAUCCAGUCAAGAUCAAUUUCCAGAGCCUUUCAAAGCUUGAUAUAGAGGAUGUACCGAAAACGGCCGCGCAAAAGCUUGAGCACCAUCCUUGUUGGAUUUCACUCAAGAGGGGUCAUAUGAAAAACAACAUAUAUAUAUGAUCGAAACAAGUUAGGUAGAUUCAUAUGCCACGCGUCUUGACCAUCAGAUUUCUUGGUGUGAGUGGCGCGAGGUCACAUCACAUCAUCAAUCGUGUAGAUAGGGCGACAAUUUUUGCCAUGAAGGUGUCUUUGGGUUGCUAUAUAUACUAGUAAUUUGUACGUGCUUUGCACGUAGCUGAUUACGUAUAAGCAUGGUACUAAAUUAGUGUAAAAAACUAAAGCACACAUAUAUUAUGAUUAAUUUUUUUUAUAGAAGCUUCAAAUGGAGAUAUCCGAUAGGCAUCUGUGGAAUCAUUUUUGGGCUUCGCAAGGCCGGAUAACAACUAUUCCCCAAAAAACAUAGUACAAUGAUUUUCUUAAUAUGAAACAUUGGAUAUAAUCUUUGCCCUUUUAUAUAUAUAUAAAUUGUUUAGGAAGUCCUUCAAUUUAUUGGACUCAUACUAAAAACUUAUUUUUUUAGAAAAAUGAUGUGAAAAAAGAAGUACAAUUAAUAAUAAAUUUUCACCUUCGCAAGCUCAUGUCAGCUAAGAAAAUAAAAGGAGUCAAAACGUACUCUUUCCUCAUAGGUUAUUUGCACAUUCUCAUUCUAAUUAUCCUAGGUACCUUACUACUUGUUUCAAAUGAUAAGAAAAUGGAAAAGUUCACAAUGCAUACAACAUUGCAAUGCUAGGCUCGCAUGCUAGCCUCUCGUGAAGCGGUCGAUGCAUGCAUGUAGGCAGGUAGUACGAAUUAAAUAAUUUAGAGGAGCAAGUGUCCAGCCCAUAGUGGAAAGAUCCAGAACAUAGUCAGAUGAUGGGUCACACAGCGAAUUCUAGAAAUAGCAGACAUAAGUUUGGAGCAGCCACUGUUGAUGCGAAUCCCGCUGCUCCCAACCGUUAGAUUGAGAGCACCAAUGAUCAGGAUUGAUAUUCUAGAUCCAUUCAAAACUCGUACACUAUAUAGUGGUAUAGAUAUAUUUUGCAAGGCCUUGUUGAAUAAUGCAAUAAAGAUGGCUGUGUGCAUCGCUCGAUGCAGAGACCGGGGGUAGUCGUCCUUUUUGAGAAAAACUAUGCAACGCGUCUUUCUUUUUCAUUUCUUCGAAUUUACACUACAUUUUGGGACCCAUAUAUAAAACAUAUAUGUGAACCUAAACUCCGUUUAAUACUAGGCUAAGACGGUCUGAGCCUACACGAACAUUCAUGUAAUUACGUAAUCCGACUUUCUUGCAGUUGUUGGACUGUGUGUUGUGCUAUGAUUAUAAUCUGCGGUUAGAAAAGAAGCAUCAAAGUAGGCAACAACAAGUGAACCAAACACUUAAAUAGAGAAAAACAGAUGUAACAAACAAGAUUACGAGAAUCCACCAUAAUGGGCGAAUACAACUUUCAAACUACUGGUUCCCAAUGUUGUUCACGCGGCUCCGUCAUGUAGAGAAUGCAGAGGACGGUCAACAAUGUUGGCAAGAACAACGAGUGACCGAGGCGGAGUAGCUACGUGCGAGGGAAUGGCUUCCACUGGAGGAUUGACUAUGGUUGACGUAGUGGUGCUGGCUGGCCAAGGAGCAGAUGGACGGGUUGGGAGUGGGCUGUGGAGUGGAGAUGUCUGCCAGGGCUCUAGCGUUUCGUGCAUUGCGUGCUGGGUUCAGGAGCAGGAGAAGAGCACAUACACGGGUACAGUGACGAGCAACGGGAGUUAUUGGGCUCGCGUGCAGCUCUCGCCGAACUCAAGCUUUGACAUGGCCGAGUUCAAGCUUAGUUUUGUGAGGUUUGACGAGCCUGGACGAGGCAAGUCAUGACCCGGCUCGACAUGGCUUGUUUCCACCCCUAGCAACAGCCUUAAGCUAGAGAGACAUCAUUUAGCUUUCUCGUUUUACACGGUGGAUGUGUGCUGGAUGCUAAUUUUUCCCAAUACCUCACAAUCCGAUUACCAUUUAGGCAUUUCCCCCCCGUGGAUAAUAUAUCUUUGAUUCCAUAUACCACAGAAGAACAACAAAGGGGGAUGUAGAUCAUAUUGUGGUGGCCAGCAUGCUAAUUGUUUCAUGCAUUGCAAAUGGAAUAGAUGAUGUACCUUGGGAAAUAUAUAGAGUUGGGCAUGUAAUGGCCAUGUGCUAUAGCUAAAAAUUAUGUAUCCUGCAGGUACACGCCAUGAAUGUCCUGAUUUGUAGAGCUCUCAACUACCUUCAGCCAAUAAUGAUAGAACCAGUUUGUUUAUGAGCAUCGGGAUGCCCUCGUAAAGAAAAAACCUCUUGAGAUGCAAUGCAACACACACCAAGUGCUCAGACUCGUCCAGUCCCACUCCGAGGAGAUGGUCGCUGAUCUAGCACUAGAGGCGAGCGGUGGUCCUGGACCGGUUGAUGGCCCAGGCCUCCACGAGCAUGAGGUCCAGUAGGACCCAGGCUAGCACGGCUUCAGACCUCGUGAAUGACGCCCGAUGUUGUGCACUGCCUUGGAGGCCAUCACGGAUAAUGUCAUCAUUAUUGAGGAUGAGCCAUUGACACCGAGGUAGUAGGUGAGGCAGCCACAUGCCUUGGCGAUCUCCGGGAAGGGCUGAUAACUCAUAAGUGCAGAGGAUCAAUUUUAGCAUUUCCAAUAAGUAAGAUUGUCGAACCCAACAAGGAGGUAAAGGUAAGACUAAUAUUCUCUCAAGUUCUAUCAACCUUGAUCCUGAUGCUACUGGAUACGCUGAAAGAGCAAACAAAGCCAAGAAGCUAGUCAAGAUCAGUGCUCGGAGCAUUGCAAAGCUGGACAGAAACUAGGUGAUGAAAGUUGCAGCAAAAGCUCGGGCAUCAUCCUCUGUUCUCCGACCAAUAGAUGCCCGCCAUGGCCAUGAAGCUGAUAUUAGCUCCAGUGGCAAUGACAGUGUCAGGAGUAGUAUGAGUGUUGAUUACAGUGCUACAAAGGAAUCGGGGAGUGAGAUGACGUUGUCUCCUCUAUAGAACUCGUAUCCAUAGAGUCUUGCAAGCCAGGAUGACUAUGAGACUGGCACACAGACUGCAAGCAGUUUAAGCAGCCCGGUACACAUCCACAAGCUUGCCCCUCAUGCUCAAUUUCGUGCAGCACCUCAUCCAGCUCCACCUCCUGAAAGGCCUGCGCUAGGGAUUACAAGGCCACAUGUUCCUGCCACACAUAUAAGUAACAACCCAAUGUUCCAGUCAGCCACAUCAUAUGUCAGGGAGAACCGAAGAGCCUCUGUGGUCUAGGAUCAAGAGGCUGGUCGGUACAUGUCAGUGCCCAUGCAAACAACAAGAACAGGACCCAGUGUUGAGCUGCCUGCAAGAAACCGAAGUUUCUUGGCGAAUCCAAGUGGUGAACCAGGCAACCAUGGGAGAAAUCUUGCACCUGCCAACACAACUUCAUCAGCGAUUCCUUCGGGGCAGCCAUCCGAGAGGUUGACGUACAUAGGCCAAUCAAUAUUCUUUGGUGGGCCAAUCCUGAGCACCACUGGCAUAAAUGCAGAAAGGAAUGAGGCGGGCACAAGAGUGCGUACUGAGACAAGCAGAGAUCCCAACCUCCACCAGCGUGACAUCCGUGGCGAGAAGGCUCGUACAGGUUCCUUCCCAUUGUUUGAGCCUAGGAAUUUCUAGAAGAACCUGCUUUGCUGGCAAGUGACCUUGACCGGCUGUUUUACUCCUCUCUACUAUGUCGUCUGCUCAAGUGCCACCACCAUGAUGUCAGGGAACUGCUGAAGUAGUUGACAUGGGGCUUCAACGAUACAUAGAUAACGAUGCUUUUUAGAGCUUUAUUAUAGUGAGUGAGGAUGGCGCUAACUUUGUUUGAUGUUUUACAAACUGACUGAUAGUCGCAGUUUUAUUUUGCGUGCAUUAGGAAUUGAGAUGUUUUACAAACUGACUGAUAGUCGCAGUUUUAUUUUGCGUGCAUUAGGAGUUGAGAUGUUUGAUGCGCUUGGCAUGUAGUAGAAGAGCUGAUUUAACUUGUCCUUGAUGUGUAGAACCUUGUGAUUUGCCGCCGACUUUGUUCAUAUUACGGACUUCGGAGUGUUCAUUGCAAGUCUCUGUUCUGUUACUGCUGUAAUAGUAGCCCACGUGUGAAGGCAUUUUCUCCAACUGUCUUGGCGUUUGACUGCUUUAUUUUCAUGUUAAGAGAAUGGAAUUUAACUCGGAUGAUAU
rnacentral:lncRNA from 1 species